ACCCCCCGAAAAGCCGGGGCCCAGCCCCCUUCGAGCGGCCAGGGAGGGGCGCCUUGCGGUGGAGCCCAGGCGACUAACGGCUCCCCGCGGGCUCGCCGCCGCAGGUUGUUGUCCGGCUUUGGAGCCGCCUCAGCUGGUCUGCUUGCAAUGUUAUCAAGGGUGUUUUCGGAAUCUCUCACGCUUGUCUCUCAUUUCAGUGAGGCGCAAAACGGCCUCAAUCCCGCACCUGUACUGGGUUCCCAGGACUCCACCCCAGGAUGAAACUUACCCUCGGGUAAUCCUCCAGCCGCCCUUUAUAGAUACUCAUCUUUGGAUUUCAUUGCUCUUCCUUUAGAGAGAGAUCUUAACACUCUUUGACCAAAGAAAGGCAUCCUGCUCCUUGAAGACCGAGCUGUUGCAUCUGAGCCAUUUAUCUUGCCUCUCCCUGCGUUAAGACCCCGGUCCCUUCCACUAAUGAAAUAUCACAACGAUGCAGGGUUUUUACUUCAUGCCUUACAUUUCCACGGUGGUGGAUUGGUAAAAAGAGCCUACAGUUCAAAAGGAAAAGUCAGAGCAGAAUUGUGACAUCUUACUGGCCCUGAUUGUUGCUUAUGAACCGGUCUUACAAAUACUGUUCCCAAGAUUCAAGAAAUUGCUCUGUUAAAAAUUAAAUUCCAGCGAACUGCCUCAGGACUUCAAAAGGGACCAUAAUUGCAAAUGACCCACUACAAGCUGCCAAGAAUAUAUUACCAAAAGAAGUCACACUCCAGUGCCCUGAUGCAUAAUGGUGGACUAGCUGCUGCUUCCUGCUGAAUUACCAGAGGAAACAACAACAAAUAUGUGCAUAUGUACAUACAGUAUAUGUGUGUACAUAUAUAACUCGUUGCUGUCCAGUCAGUUCCGUUUGGCUGCUAACCGAAAGUAUUCCAGAAGUAUCUCCAGCAUUUUAAGAGAAACACGGGUUCUAGUUCAUAGUUUUAAUAUCAUCUGUUCAUUGAUGUCACCACACACCUGUCAGUUUGUGGUACCAUAGUGGCUUGUGUGUUGCUGUGAUGCUGGAAGCCAUGCCACUGGGUAUUUCAAAUAUCAGCAGGUCACCCAUGGUGGACAGGUUUCAGCUAAGCUUCCAGACUAAAACAGACUAGAAAGAAGGACCUGGUGGUAUGCUUCUGAAAAAAUUGGCCAGUGAAAACCUUAUGAAUAGUAGCAGAACAUUGAUAUAGUGCCGGAAGAUGAGCCCCCAGGUUGGAAGCACUCAAAAGACGACUGGGGAAGAGUUGCCUCCUCAAAGUAGAGUCGACCUUAAUGACACGCAUGGAGUUGAGCUUUCGGGACCUUCGUUUGCUGAUGUGGCAUGACUCAAAAUGAGAAGAAACAGCUGCAAACAUCCACUAAUUAUCGGAACGUGGAAUGUACAAAGUAUGAAUCUAGGAAAACUGGAGGUUGUUAAAAAUGAAAUGGAACACAUAAAGAUCAGUAUCUUACGCAUUUAAUGAGCUGAAAUGGACUGGUAUUGGCCAUUUUGAAUCAGACAAUCAUAUGGUCUACUAUGCUGGGAAUGCCAAAUGGGAGAGGAAUGACAUCAUCUUCAUCAUGAAAAAGAACAUUUCAAGUUCUACGCUGAAGUACGCUAUCAGUGAUAAGAAAAUAUCCAUAUACCUACAAGGACAACCAGCUAAUAAGACUAUUAUUCAAAUUUACGAACCAACCACUAAUGCCACAGAUGAAGAAAUUCAAGAUUUUUACCAACUUCUGCAGUCUGAAAUUGAUCAAACACACAUUCAAAAUGCAUUGAUAAUUACUGGUGACUGGAAUGCGAAGGAAACCCUGGUGGAAUAGUGCUUAAGGAUUCGGGUGCUAACCAAAACUACGGCAUUUGAAUCCACAAGGCGCUCCAUGGAAACCCUAUGGAGCAGUUCUACUCUGUCCUAUAGGGUUGCUAUGAGUCAGAAUCGGCUCUACAGUGAUGGGUUGGUUUGUUUGUUUGUUUUUUGGUUUUGGAAAGCAAAAGUUGGAAACAAAGAAGGAUUGGUAGUUGGAAAAUAUGGCCUUGGUGAUAGAAAUGACACUGGAGAUCACAUGAUUGAAUUUUGCAGGACAAACGACUUAUCUUUUUUCAACAACAUAAGUGACGACUAUGUAUGUGGACCACACUGGAUGGAAUACACAGGAAUCAAAUCGACUAUAUCUGUGGAAAGAGACAAUGGAGAAGCUCCAUAUCAUCAAUCAGAACAAGGCCAGGGGCCAACUGCAGAACAGACUAUCAAUUGCUCACAUGCAAAUUCAAGUUGAAACUGAAGAAAAUUAAAACGAGCCCAUGAAGAGCCAAAAUAAUACCUCAAGUAUAUCCCACCUGAAUUUGGAGACCUUCUCAAGAAUAGAUUUGGUACACUGAACACUAAUGAUCAAAGACUAGACAAGUUGUGGGAAGACCUCAAGGAUAUCGUACGUGAAGAAAGCAAAACGUCAUUUUAAAGACAGGAAAGAAAGAAAAGACCUAAAUGAAUGUUAGAAAAGGCUAUGACGCUUGCUCUUGAAAGUAGGGUAGCUAAAGCAAAUGGAAGAAAGGAUGAUGUAAAAGAGCUGAACAGACAAUUUCAAAGGGCAGCUUGAGAAGACAAAGUAUUAUAAUGAAAUGUGCAAAGACCUGGAGUUAGAAAACAAAAACAGAAGAAUACACUUGACAUUUAUCAAGCUGAAAGAACUGAAGAAAAAAUUCAACCCUCAAGUGGCAAUGUUGAAGGAUUCUGUAGGCAAAAUAUUGAAUGACACAUGAAAUAUCAAAAGAAGAUGAAAGGACUACACAGCCACUAUACCAAAUGAAUUGUUUGACAGCUUAACCAUUUCAGGAGGUUCCAUAUGAAAAAAAAUCAAUGGUAUUGAAGGAAGAAGUUCAAACCGCACUGAAGGCAUUGGAGAAAAACAAGGCUCUAGGAAUUCACAGAAUACCAAUUGAGAUGUUUCAACAAACAGAUUCACUGGAAGCACUCACUUGCCUAUGCCAAGAAAUUUAGAAAACAGCUACCUGGCCAACUGACUGGAAGAGAUCCAUAUUUGUGACCAUUCCAAAGAAUGGGAAUCUAACAGAAUGCAAAAUUAUCAAACAAUAUCAUUAAUAUCACAUGAAAGUAAAAUUUUGCAGAAGAUAACUCUAAAAUGUUUGCAGCAGAAAUCAACAGGGGACUGCCAGAAAGUCCAGCUGGAUUCUGAAGAGGAUGUGGAAUGCGAGGUAUCAUUGCUGAUGUUAGAUGGUUCUUGACUGAAAGCAGAGAAUACCAGAGAGAUGUUUACCUGUGUUUUAUUGACUAUGCAAAGGCAUUCUACUGUGUGGAUCAUAACAAAUUAUGGAUACAUUAUGAAGAAUGGGAAUUCCAGAACACUUAAUUGUGCUAAUGAAGAACCUGUACGUAGACCAAGAGACAGUUGUUUGAACAGAAAAAGAGGAUACUGCGUGGUUUAAACGCAGGAAAGGUGUGGGUCAGAAUUGUAUCCUUUCUCUAUACUUAUUCAAUCUGUUGUUGUUUUAGGUACAGUUGAGUUGGUGCUGACUCAUAGCAACCCUAUAUGCAACAGGACGAAACACUGCCCAGUCCUGCGCCAUUCUCACAUUUGUUGCUGUGUUUGAGCCCAUGUUGCAACUACUGUGUCAGUCUGUCUCGUUUGAGGGUCUUCCUCUCUUUUGCAGAUCCUCUGCUUUACCAAGCAUGAUGUUCUUCUCCAGGGAAUGGUCCCUCCUGAUAACUUAUCUGAAGUACCUGAGACUAAGUCUCGCCAUCCUUGCUUCCAAGAAGCACUGGCUGUACUUCUUCCAAGACAGAUUUGUUCCAACUUAAUAGUGACCCUAUGUAAAACAGAAUGAAACACUGCCCGGUCCUGUGCCAUCCUUACAAUUGCUGUUAUGCUUGAGCUCAUUGUUGAAGCCGCUGUGUCAAUCUACCUCGUUGAGGGUCUUCCUCUUUUCCUCUGACCCUGUACUCUGGCAAGCAUGAUGUCCUUCUCCAGAGACUGAUCCCUCCUGACAACAUGUCCAAAGUAUGUAAGACACAGUCUCGCCGUCCUUGCUUCUAAGGAACGUUCUGGUUGUACUUCUUCCAAGACAGAUUUAUUCAUUCUUCUGGCAGUCCAUGGUAUAUACAGUAUUCAUCACCAAAACCAUAAUUCAAGGGCAUCAAUUCUUCUUUGGCCUUCCUUAUUCACUGUCUAGCUUUUCCAUACAUAUAAGGUGAUUAAAAAUACUAUGGCUUGGGUCAAGCGGACCUUAGUCCUCAAAGUGACACCUUUUUAACACUUUAAAGAGGUAUUUUGCAGCAGAUUUGCCCAAUGCAGUAUGUCCUUUGAUUUCUUGACUGCUGCUUCCAUGGGUGUUGAUUGUGGAUCCAAGUAAAGUGAAAUCAUUAACUUCAGUCUUUCUCCGUUAAUCAUGAUGUUGCUUAUUGGUUUGAGUUGUGAGGAUUUUUGUUUUCUUCAUAUUGAGGUGUAAUCCAUGAAGGCUGUAGUCUUUGAUCUUUAUCAGUAAGUGCUUCAAGUCCUCAUCACUUUCAACAAGCAAGGUUGUGUCAUCUGCAUAUUGCAGGUUGUUAAUGAGCCUUCUACCAAUCCUGCUGCCAUAUUCAUCUUCAUAUAGUCGAGCUUCUCAAAUUAUUUGCUCAGCAUACAGGCUGAAUAAGUGUAGGAGGAGAUUACAACCCUGAUGCGCAUCUUUCCUGAGAUUAAAGCCUGCAGUAUCCCCUUUUUGUGUUCAAACAAAUGUCUCUUGGUCUAUGUACAGGUUCCUCAGUAGCACAAUUAAGUGUUCUGGAGUUCCCAUUCUUUGCAAUGUUAUCCAUAAUUUGUUAUGAACCACAGAGUCAAAUGCCUUUGCAUAGUCAAUAAAACACAGUUAAACACCUUUCUCAUAUUCUCUGCUUUCAGCCAAGAUCCAUCUGAAAUCAGCAACGAUACCUUCCAUUUCACGUCCUCUUCUGAAUCCAGCUUGACCCUCCGUCAGUUCCCUGUCAAUGUACUGCUGCAACUACUUUUGAAUUAUUGUCAGCAAAAUUUUACUUGCGUGUAAUAUUAAUGAUAUCAUUUGAUAAUUUCCACAUUCUGUUGGAUCACCUUUCUUUGCAAUGGGCACAAAUAUGGAUCUCUUCCAGUUGGUUGACCAGGUAGCUGACUUCUAAAUUUCUUGAUGUAGACAAGUGAGCACUUCUAGCACUACAUCCAUUUGUUGAAACGUCUCAAUUAGUAUUUGGUCAACUCCUGGAGCCUUGUUUUUUCUCUGAUGUCUUUAUUACAGCUUGGACUUUUUCCUUCAGUACCAUCAGUUCUUGAUCAUAUGCUACCUCCUGAAAUGGUUGAAUAUCGACCAAUUCUUUUUGGUACGAUAACUCUGUGUAUUCCUUCCAUCUUCUUUUGAAGCUUCAUGCAUCAUUCAAUAUUUUGCCCACGGAAUCCUUCAAAAUUGCAACUCGAGGCUUGAACUUUUUCUUCUGUUCUUUCAGCUUGAGAAAUGCUGAGCAUGUUCUUCCGUUUUGGUUUUCUAACUAGCAGGUCUUUGUACAUUUCAUUAUAAUACUUUGUCUUCUUGAGCUGCCCUUUGAAAUCUUUUGUUCAACUCUUACUUCAUCAUUUCUUUCGUUUGCUUUAGCUACUUUACAUUAAAGAGCAAAUUUCAGAGUCUCUUUUGACAUCCGUUUUGUUUUUUUUAUUUCUUUCCUGUCUUUUUAAUGGCCUUUUGCUUUCUUGAUGUGCCAUGUCCUUGACGUCAUUCCACAACUCGUCUAGUCUUAGGUCGUUAGUGUUCAAUGUGUCAAAUCUCUUCUUGAGAUGGUCUCCAAAUUCAGGUAGCAUGUACUCAAGGUCGUGUUUUGGCUCUUAUUGCCUUUUUUUAAUCCACCACAUGUCUAUCAGUUUAUCAUACUCCGGUGGCUUGUGUGUUGCUGUGAUGCUGGAAGCUAUGUCACUGAUAUUUCAAAUGCUAGCACAGUCAACCAUGGUGGAAAGGCUUCAGCUGAGCUAAGACCAACUAGGAAGAAGGACCUGGCAGUCUACUUCUGAAAAAAAUGGCCAGUGAAAACCUUAUGAAUAGCAGGGGAACAUUGUCUGACAUAGCGCCUGAAGAUGAGUCCCUCAGGUUUGAAUGCACUCAAAAUAUGACUGGGGAAGAGCUGCCUCCUCAAAAUAGAGUCAGCCUUAAUGACAUGGAUGGAAUAGAGCUUUUGGGAGCUUCAUUUGUGGAUAUGGCAAAACUCAAAAUGAGAAGAAACAGCUGUAAACAUCUAAUAUUCAGAAUGUGGAAUGUACAAAGUAUGAAUCUAGGAAAAUUGGAAGUCCUCAAAAAUGAAAUGGAAUGCAUAAAGAUCGAUAUCUUUGGUAUUAGUGAGCUGAAAUGGACUGGUAUUGGCUAUCAGACAAAAAAUAAUCCGAGGAGCUCUAUUAUAUGAAGAGGAAUUUGGCAUUAGGAUUGGAAUAAGACUCAUUAACAAUCUUAUGUUUGGAGGGAGACUCUUUAACAAAUUACAAUAUGCAGAUGACACAACCUUGCUUGCUGAAAGCUAAGAGGACUUGAAGCACUUACUGAUGAAGAUCAAAGCUUUCAGUAUGGAUAAUACCUCAACAUAGAGAAAACAAAAGUCUUCACAACUGGACCAGUAAGCAACAUCAUGAUAAAUGAAGAAGAUAUUGAAGUUGUCAAGGGAUCGCAUUUUACUUGAAUUCACAACCAACACCCACUGACUCAGCAGUCAAAAAAUCAAAUGACAUACUGCAUUGGGCAAAUCUCAAAAAUACCUCUUUAAAAUGUUGAAAAGGAAAGAUGUCACUUUGAGGACUAAAGUGCACUUGACCCAAGUUAUGGUAUUUUCAGUUUCCUCAUACACGUGCGAAAGCUGGACAAUGAAUAAGGAAGACCAAAGAAGAAUUGAUGCCAUCAAAUUAUGGUGUUGGUGAAGAAUAUUGAAUAUACCAUCGACUGCCAGAAGAAUGAACAAAUCUGCCUUGGAAGAAGUGCAGCCAGAAUGUUCCUUAGAAGAGAGAAUGACAAGACUUCAUCUCAGGUACUUUGGAAACAUUAGAAGGGAACAGUCCGUGGAGAAAGACAUCAUGCUUGGUAAAGUAGAGGAUCAGCAAAAAGAGGAGGAUCUUCAAUGACAUAGAUUGACACAGUGGCUGCAACCAUGGCUCAAACAUAGCAACAAUUGUGAGGAUGGCAUAGAGCUGGGCAGUGUUUCGUUCUGUUGUAUAUAGGGUCACUAUGAGUCAGAACUGACUUGAUGAUACCUUACAACAACACAGUAUUCCAUAGUAUGUAUAUAUCAUAAUGUAUUUACUAUAUCCCUCCUGGUGAACAUUCAGGAUUUUCCCUCAAUUUUUCACUUAUACAAAUAGUGUUCUAAUGAAUAUCCCUGUGUGUAUAUCUUUGUGUAUUUGUUCAAGCAUUCCUCUACAGCAGAGCCCUGUAAGUGAAAAUGAUGCUGGGUCAGUCUGUGCAUUUUAAAUUUUAAAAGUUACUGCCAAAUUAUUUUUUAAGAGGGCCAAAUCAAUUUACACUCCUACUCAGAGUGUAUAGUAGUGCCAGCUUCCUCACAUCCUUGCCAACAUUGAAUAGUAUUAAUCUUUUAUAAUCUUUCCAAUCUGACAAACAAAAAUGCUAUCUCAUUUUGUUUAAUUUGCUUUCGUUUAAAAAAUUUAAUGAGCUUUGAUAUCUUUUUCUAGAUGCAACAACUAUUCAUUGCAGAAAAUAUAAAAAACACCAAAAGUAUAUAAAGAAUUUUUUAAAUCCGUAGUUCUACCCAGGGAUGAAUUAACCAGUAAACAAGGUAUGCACAGGCUAUCCUUAAGUAGGACAAAUACAGGCUUACCAGUUUUUUCUUACGUAUGUUUUCCCACAAAUUGGCCAUUUUAUAUAAUAGUUUUGUGUGGUUCUUUUAACCUAACAUUUUAUCAUGUGCUCUCUCCCAUGGUAUUAAAUAUUCUUUAAAAACAUAAAAUUUAAGGCUGCAUAAUAUUCUAGUAUGUAGAUAUCAUGUAAUCUAUUUAACCUGUCCCCUAUUGUUUGAACCAACUCUAUGUCAACUAACAGCAACCUAUUGUCUGUGGGACAUUUAGGUUGGUUCCUAAAUAUUUCUGGUAUUAUAAAUGAUGUUGUUAUGAUGAUCCUUGAACAUAAAUCUGUGUGUACUAAUGCAAAGUAUACUUGUAAAUUAACAGAAAAUAAAUAGCCAAGAGGUAAUAAAAAUAUCAAAACAGGUCUUCAGAUAAUAAUCAGAUCUGUUCCCUGAUAAAGUUCUGCAAUAGUGAAUUUCAACAGAGUUUUUAUCCGCUACAGUUCUUAAAAUGAGAAUAGCUCUAAAACUGGGAAUAAAUAACAAGGUGAUGGCCAUGUCAGCUACACUCAACUGAGAUGACCAGCCUCACCCUUUCCACUGACUUUUUAUUUAAAUCCCGUGAUUAAUCCUACAAACUCAUGCUAUGCUAUACUUAAAUGUAAUAUAACCCUUCCCAGGUAGAUAUUGUGGUCUUGACUCCUCAUUAAAGACAAAUGAGAUGACUCAGAGCUAGUUGGAGGCCUAUGUUAGAAGGCAUAGAGGGGCACUCCUAUGAUAGCAGGCCAGAAUCACCUCACCAUUAGUUACAACUUAACUAUUCUUACAAGUGAAAGGGGGAGAGGAAAGGGUGUUUCAAAAUCUAGUAUCUUCCCACAGAAAAGGAAAUAUAUCAGAAUAAGUGAGAAUCAAAGUUUCCUCAUUUGAGGUCACAGAAGUUAUGGGGUGAAAGGCUGGAAAAGUUCAGGAGAAGAAAAAUGUUUAGGCAUUGAGUAGAAAAUAGCGCUGUGUCCUGUAUGAAUCAGUUGUACUAUGUUUGAUAAACAAACAUCUAUGACACACAUUGCAAAACAUAGAUUAAGAAACCUCUGGGCAGAGGGCAAAGCAUCAUACGUACAAGUGUAAUGAGGCACUUAGCCAGUAUACAGAGAGGAACAUGGCUUCAGCACUUAGAAGCGUAUGUCCCUGGGCCCCCCCCCCCGCCCUUUUUUUAAACUGGUUCUGUUGAUCCAGGUUUGAACUGAGGUAACAGUUUUAAUUUCUGCACAUGUAACACGAACUUCUCAAAUAGAAUUUUAGAGCUGUAAGCGACUUGGACUUUAAAGAUCAUUUAGAGUCCAACUAUUUAUUUACGAAUGAGGAAAUUGGGCCUCCAAAAAGUUAAGUCAUUUGUCCAGGGUUACAAAACAAAUUAUUUUAGAACUGGGACUAAAAUACAGAUUCCUUGACCUCUGGUUCAAUACUCAUCCUAUUUUGCCACAUUACCUACCUCAUACUAACUUCCCAGAGGUUUUAUAAUCUAACUGCAAGUUCAUAACCACAAUUAUGAAAGUGCUUUGAAUUGUUUGGAUAAAAAAUAUCAGGAGUAUCUAAGGAAAACAGGAAAAUAUGGUCUACUCAAUUUAUGCGGAAUGUGCCUGAGGAAGCAUGUGGAUUUUUUGAGGGGAAGAUGAUUUCUUUUCUUUUACGUAAUUCUUGAAAGAAAAAAAAAGGAAACAUUUCCAGUGUAUUUUUGGUUAUCUGCAUGUGCUCAAUCUACCCCUCCACUAAGGUCCAUUCCAGGUUGUAACCUCCUCCUUACUCAAGGAAUGCACGGAGUUGAUAGUAGGCUUGCUCCAUUUACAGGUGUGUCCCUUACUACCUGUCUGCCAUUUUUUCCCACCUGCCACUUUUGACAUUCCUGCUAUUUCAUUUAACUGUAUUAGAAAAUAAUCAAGGCCCUGACUCAAGGAAGCAAUUAAUCCAAAGCACUGAUGGCCCACAUGAACUAUAAGCCUCCUCUAGCCUGAGACCAGAAGAGCUAGAUGGUUCCCGGCUACCACUUCCAACCGCUCUGACCAGGAACACAAUAGAAGGUCCCGGUUAGAAUGGGUGAAAAACGUACAACAAAGUUCAAAUUCAUAAAAAAGACCAGACUUACAGGUCUAAUAGAGAUUGGAGGAACCCCUGAGACUACUGCUCUGAAACACCCUUCAAACUUGGAACUAAAGCCAUUCCCAGAGUCCAUCUUUCAGCCAAAUAAUAGACUGGCCUGUAAAAUAAACAAUACCACCAGUGAGGCGUGUGCUUCAUAGAAGAAUCAACAAAACCCAAACCCGUUGCUGACUGGUCAAUUCCGACUCAUGGCGACCCUGUAGGACAGAGUAGAACUGCCCCCGUAGGGUUUCCCAGGAGCAGCUGGUGGAUUCGAACUGCCACCCUUUUGGUUAGUAGCCAUAGCUCUUAACCACUGCACCACCAAGGCUCCAACAAUCAACUAUAGGAGACUAAAAGGGCAACAUUCUCCCAAAAGCAAAGGUGAGAAGGCAGGAAGGGACAGGGAAACAGGAGGAAGGGAAGCAGGGAACCCAGGGCAGAAAUGGGGAGAGUACUGAUACAUUGCAGGGAUUGCAACCAAUGUCAUGGAAAAUUUCGUGUGUGAAUUAUAGUAUAGAAAAUUAAUUUGCUGUGUAAACUUCUACCUAAAUCACAACAAAAUGUUCAAAGAAAAAAGAAAAUAAUCAAGGCAAUUUUAAGACAUAUCAGAAAGGUAUUUUUCCAGUGUUGCAUAACAUGCAACACCCUUAGGGGUUGGGGCCAGGAAGGCAUUUGGGGCACUGUGGAAUAUAAUUUUGUAAGAAUAGCUCAGGCUUUCAUUCUUGAUUGCUUCUGAUCCUUCCAUCUUCUGCCCUAUGUAAAAGGAACUCUGAAAGUUUGCAAAUUUCCUAAAAUAAGAAAUAAUCUACAUUGAAAGUUCAAAACCAAAGAUCGUAAACUUUCAAUUUUUAGAAGCUGGUGAAACAAAGUGUCAAAGAUGGAACUGCUGACAGUCAUCUCUCAGAAAAUAAAACUGAGUAGACCGAGUUCCCUUGGGGUAACAUUUAUGUUCAGUAAGGUUUUCAUGCUCAUUUCUUUUCACUCAUUUUUGAAGAAUGAAUGUUUUCUUUUUCUGCUUAUGACCCUAAGUCUUAACACCUAAGUCUUAAGAGUUUCAUUUCUUUUACUAUAGCAGUGAUGCUUUCAUCUGUCCUUAAGGGUUUUCCUGUUUUUCUCAAAUGGGCAAAAACUAGGAUAAAGAUUUUCAUUAUUUAAAAAAAAAAAUCUAAAUAAAUUCCUAAUUACUUGAAUAAAUUAUUCAUUUACAUGCAAAAUAACAAAAUCGUUUUAUGAUCUAACCAAAUUUAUAUAAUACACAGUGCACUCCUAAGAGUCCCUGGACGGUGCAAACAACACACUUAGCUGCUAAUUGAAAAGUUAGUUGUUCAAGUCCAUCCAGAGGUGCCUCAGAAGAAAGUCCUGGUGAUCUACUUCCAAAAAAUCAGUCAUUGAAAAUUAUGGCGCACAGUUCUACUCUGACACACAUGGGGUCAACAUGAGUCAGAAUUGACUGGACAGUAACUGGCAGUGUGCUCUUGAAUGGUGUGGCAUUAAACUAUAAGUGGUUCUUUAAAAAGAAAUUUUAUUCCUAAAUUUCCAUUUAUCCUUAAGAAGCUAAAGAAGCAGAAAAUGUUUCCUACAAAUUCAGAAUUUCCAGAAUUUAAAAAGUAUUACUCCAAAGCUCAUUUAUCCACUCAUUCAUUCAUCCAACAAACAUUUAUUUAGCUCUGACUCUGUGCCAGACUAGGUGUGGGGCACUACAGAGAGAGAGUUCAGCUAAAGAGACAUGGUCACUGCUCUCAGGGAGUUUUAUGUUAAUGUAGAAGACAAAUAAAUAAGAUAACACCAGAAGGGAUAAGUGCUAUGGACAACAUAAGAUCUCAAGAGUGUAUUUUGUGUGGAGGUUUACUUUAGCUAGGGUGAUUAGGAAAGGCCUUUCUGAGAAGCUGACGUUUAAGCAGAGACGUGAAUGAUGAAAGGGAGCCAAUGAUACCCAGAUUUAGGGGAAGAGUGGUCCAGGCAGAAGAAUAAUCAAGUGCAAAAGUCAUAAAGCCACUCUGGGCUUGGGCCUUGUGGGACUGGAAGCAUCAUAGAGAGCCAAGGGUGGAGAGGUAUGGAAAGAAGUCAGAGAGGUGUGGGGUAGGGGGGUCCAAUUUUUUAGGAUUUUAUAAGCCAUGUUAAGGAGCUUGCUUUUAUUCAAAGUGUACCUAUAUGCUGAAAUGUCUUUGCAGACCAACAAUAAUCUGGCCAAAGCAGUAGAUUAAAAGCAUUGGUAAAAUACACGCACACAGUUAAAAGGGGAUAUACAAGACUGGUUUUCUGACUUCAUCUAGAAAUUAAUUUGGCUGUGAGAAAUUAAUUUGGUCAACCCAGAAGAUUGUUUUCCUUCCCUCUAGUCCAAGGUUUCUCAACCUCAGACUAUUGACAUUUUGAGUCAGAUAAUUCUUUAUUGUGGGCAACUGUCCUAUGCCUUUGUAGGGUGUUUAACAGCAACCCUGGCCUCUGUCCACUAAAUGCCAAUCAAUAGUAGCCCACCCAACCCCAGUUGUGACAACCACAAAUAUAUCCUGACAUUUCUAAAUAUCUUCUGGGGGCAAAAUUGACCUUGGUUGAGAAUCAUUAUUAUAAUACAAGGCAAGGAAGUGAAAGGGCAUGAUGUAGAGGAGGUAGACCUUGGAAGAAAUGGUGUUUUGUUUUUACAUUCCUCUUCCCUACCUCCAUGCUCAUUCCAAAGCCUCCCUUGAUUUCUCUGCCUCUGGAACUUAUACAUUGGUGCUAAGUAAAUAUUCAGUAAAUUCAUUCACUGCAGACUGCCAAUCUGUAGACAUCGAGCCAAAAUUUGCUUCAAUAAGAGGGUUGUGGGUAGAGGAUACCACUGGAUUAGAAUUGUCUGGGUAGCGGCCUCAACUUUCCAGCUCAUUUUGUUUAUACCAAGCCUUAGAGAAACUAAACCUAUGGUAUGUCUACAGAACACCAAAGGAAUUACUCAUUCUAACAAAGUUUUCUGAAAACACAACUUUUAUUCACUUACUUCAGUUAUAAAAUUAGACCUGCAUUUCUAGUUGUAAUAUCUCCUAAAAGAAUAGAACAUCAGAGGCUCUAGAACAGGGUUUCUCAAUCUCAGCACUAUUUACAUUUUGGGCCAGAUAAUUCUAUUGUUGUGGGGGGCUGUCUUGUGCAUGGUAGGAUGUUGAGCAGUAGUGGCCUUCCCUGCCCCCUCGUGACAAUCAAAAAUGUCUGCAAUAAAUAUCCAUGAGUCCAUACUGAUGUAGAUAAAUGAUUGGAUAAAUGAAUAAAUGGGGGAGAAGAGACAAAUGUCCCAUACAAAAGAAUUCCAAAUAAUUUUAUGUAGAUACUCCCCAGUCAAGGAACUGGAGCAUAACUCCCCACCCUUCAAAUGGGGGCUGCACAUAGUGACUUGCUUUCAAAGAGUGGAGAAACCUCACAAACGCUAUUUUGGAAAGAUGAUCAAGGUUAACGUUAUCAGUGAUAAGUCAUGUUGGUUGCAUGUAUCCUUGAUAUGAUACAAUGAAAAUGGCACUUGACCUCUAUGGUCUACCCCAUUAUACCAAAAAAAAGUAUAACUCCAGUCUAAUCAUGUGAAUAACAUCAUGUUCCGAUUGAGAGACAUUCUACAAAAUACUGACCAGUACUCCUCAAAAGUGUCAAGGUUGUCAAAAACAAUGAAAGUCUGAGAAACUGGCACAGCCCAGAGGAAACUGAAGAGACAUGAUGACUAAAUGACAUGUGAUAUCCUGGAUGGAUCCUGGAACAGAAAAAAGACAUUAGGUAAAGACUAAGGAAAUCUGAAUAAAGUAUGAACUUUGGUUAAUAAUAAUGUAUCAAUAUUGAUACCUUAAUUGUAACAAGUGUAUUGUAUGAAUGUACGAUGUUAACAAUAGGGGAUACUAAGUAGAGGCAUAUGAAACUCUUUUCUAUGUUUGCAACUUUUUCUGUUAACUCUAAAAUAUUAUUCUAAGAUAAAAACUUUAUUUCAGAAAAAUAUCUGCAGACAUUGCCAAAUGUUCCCUAGGUGGCAAAAUCUCCCUCAAUCGAGAGCCACUGCUAUUGGCCAGUCUAGCCAUUUGAUUUUUCAUUAUAGCACUUUCCACCUUUUACAAUAUUUUCACAUCUCCAGGCUCUCCUUUGUGUGGUCAGCAACUCUUGGCAUUCAAGAAUACUUCUUAUGACUUUAAGAUCUCCUGAGUCCUCACCUACAGCUUCCAGAACUUUCCUCCUCUCCACUUUUGGCUGACCAGUCACAGCAUACCAAUUGCAGUGGGGUUUGAUAUCAUUUCUCCUGUGGGUAACACUAUCAAACAAAUCAAGUCUCUAAAUUCUUCAAGACUUGGAGAGUAAUUUGACCUUUUUUUUCCUUUAAAAAAAGAAAGUUUGAAAAUCUACAUACUGAGAUGACUGAGGGUUACUUGCACUUCAUCACUGUUGCAGUAAUAAUAGUCUGAGAGUGAUACUGUCUUCAUAUUAAGGCUGUUGUGCCCUGGAAAGAUAUUCCACUGAUUUAUGGAACAGAAGGCUUCAGUUGCAGAUAUGAAAUAGAAUUAAUUUAAGGCAAAGAGGUUUGCCAAACUCAACGUCAUCAUUUUCCAUAUCAUCUUAUGAUGAAAAACCAUCUUACCUAGUGGUUGUUCAGCCAUGAAUACUAAUUUCUAUCCUCUUCUGAGUCUUAAAAAGGAAAGAACAAGAGAGGUUGGCUCAGUAUUGAAAUUAAACCUGAAAAAAAAUGAAAGAUAGCAGUAAGAAAGAAAAAUAAAGGGAGUCAUUGACUCUUCAGACAUUUAAUUCUCCUGAAAUGUAGAUUCUCUUUAUACCACUGUUUCAUUCCUCUGAUAUGCUCUUCCUAUUCUCACCCCAGAAAAAAAAGAAAAAAAAACUUUUUUUUUUUGGAGCCUAAUAGAAAUUAAAAACAAACAAACAAACAAACCAUUGCCGUCAAGUCAAUUCCAACUCCUAGUGACCCUAUAGGACAGAGAAGAACUGCAUCAUGGGGUUCCCAAGAAGCAGCUGGUGGAUUCAAAUUGCUGACCUUUUGUAUAGCAGCUGAGAUCUUAACCACUAUGCUGCCAGUCUCCACAAAAAUAUAGCCUAUGUGUUAUUAUAUGUGUAUGAGGUUGUCUUAGCCGGGCUGGAGCUAGUGCCAGAACUGUGUCUGAGAGAAAUUAAAUGACAAUUUCCCCUAUCCCUUCCUCUACAUAUUUGCAUAAGUCUAUAUCCAAGGAGACUUUGGGAUCUGGGCUGAAGCAGGAGUGAUAAUUUAGUUUUAGUUUGUUGUUUUUUGCUGGGGCACAUGGAAGAAGAGAGAGAACUGAUUGGCUCUUUCCAUUUGAGUCCCAGUGGGGAGAAGGAUAGAGCCAAAAGCUGAAGGAACCAUUUUCAUGAAGGACUUUCUGGGAUUCUGAGCUCCAAGAGUGCCGUGGGGGACCUAAGUGACAAAUUUAUCAUAGACUUACGUGAGAAGUCCAUUAUCUCGUACCUUAAGGAUUGGCAGGUUUUGGAAAUUUGGGAGCCAGAACUCUGACACAGACAAUGCUGUUUUCGUGGAGGGCAUCCACAGCCGAGGCAGUGAUGAGGUACCUUGACUUGUAGGCGGAAGUAUAAGAACAUGAGUGGGCUUGUUACAAACACAUGUGGUAACCACCCUGCUGAGAUGGCCAGAAAUAACUGGAGAGUUUUUGGAAGGGUGUUAAAUUCCUUUGUGAGCAGGUGGGGGCUUGCAGCUGAUAAAAUGUGGAUGUUAGUGUUAACGUGAUCUCAUUUCACCAGCUGGCAAAGCCUGGGAUAUUUGGAUUGCAUAUUUCUUAUUUUCUAGGCCCCACAUCUAAUAAGAAUGGGGACUUCUUAAACAUACCUCUAUCUUAAAACAAUACUGGCUCAAACCUAAGCCAUAAUUACCCUUCCAGAUCUAAAGGGACCCUACUGCAACUUCUACUGAGAGUCCUUUGAGCUAUCUUCUUUGACAUCAUAAUAACUGGCUACUGCAUUAAUCCUUUUGCAAGUUUCCUAGAGUUUGUCUUCUUACAUAGUCUCCUAAAUCAACAAUGACACUCCUCCUUCAGCAGAGUCACCUAGCUUAUUUUUACUUUAUACCCCUGUCUUAGUUAUCUAGUGCUGCCAUAACAGAAAUACCACAAGUGGACGGCUUUAACAAAGAGAAAUUUAUUCUCUCACAGUCUAGUGGGCUAUAAGUCUGAAUUCAGGGUGCCAGCUCCAGGGGAAGGCUUUCUGUCUCUGUCGGCUCUGGGGGAAGGUCCUUGUUAUCAGUCUUCCCUGGUUGAGAAACUUCUCAGCACAGGGACCCCAGGUCCAAGGGACAUGCUAUUCCCCUGGCUCUUGUUUCUUCGUGGUAUGAGGUGCCCAUGUCUCUCUGCUCACUUCUGCUUUUAUAUCUCAAAAGAGAUUGACUUAAAAUACAACCUAAUAUUAUAGAUUGAGCCCUGCCUCCUUAACAUAACUGCCUCUAAUCCUGCUUCAUUAACAUCAUAGAGGUAGGAUUUACAACACAUAGGAAAAUCACAUCAAAUGACAAAAUGGUGGACAAUCACAUAAUACUGGGAAUCAUGGCCUAGCCAAGUUGACACACAUUUUUGGGGGAUAUAAUUCAAUCCAUAACACCCCCCCUUAGUAAACUCUAAAUAUCCUUUUGUAAAUGCUUCCCAUGGAAGCCGCUUGCUUCUUUCAAUGACCAGUGUUUCUUUUUAUAAAAGUGGGUUUCCUUAAUCCAUUACUUUGCUGCAAAUUCAGAGUUUUGUAACUCCUGAAUAACUACAAUCAUUAUUUUGCUUCUUGUCUAAUUUCCUUUGAACUCUUUAGUCAAAAUGGAAUAGUACCCAUUCAUGUUCUUUUCAUAGUGGCAGAUACAGAAAAAAAUUCAGUGAACACCAAGGUUUCUAGACUAUAUUAACACCUGACAAAAGAUUUAGAAGGCACAAAUGUCCCUGGGCUCUAGCAACAUAUCUUGUUGCCCAAGAAUUUCUUUAAGGUACAGAGGUAUUCCAUAAUAAUAUGCUUAGUUGUACUGCAGAUGUUAGUGUCCUGACCAUUCCCUCUUAUCACUUAAAGGGGUGAACAAAAGUUGUGCAGUAGGUUCGUUUUUAUCUUUGGCAGUCAGAACUAAUGACCCAAAAAGAAACUUGGAAACUGGUUGUAAGAACAAGUCCAAAAGGGCUAGAGUAGUGGAGAGUGCCAUAGAGAAGGCUGGAUUUGAGCUGGACAGGCACUGAAGGAUGGCAGAGAGGAUGAGACAGCUCUUCCUUGGAAGAGGAAACAGUGUGAGUGAAGACAGAGACUGGGAAUGAACAGAGCACGUUGGGGAGAGUCAGGAGACUGGCCUGACUGGAGCAGAAGAUUCAAGUUGGAGAAGAGUGAGAAGGAAGUUUGGGAGAGGCAGUCUGCAACUGGGAGUUGUUCUUUCAAGCUGUAAAUGUGAAAAGCCACACAAAUGGCAGCUAGAUGUCUUUAUACAUACCAGUGUAGGGAUCAUUUUAUUACAAAUGAGACUCUCCAAUCACUCUCCCACACUUGGAGCACUCUGCCAACAGUGUCAUCUUUUAAUAAUACAAUGGGAGGUGAUGAUGAGGCAGAUACGGAUCAAAGUAAACAUAGAAAAGAAUGGCUUGAGGGCAGACAUUUUACAAACAUCUUUGUAUAAGCACACACUUAUUGCUCCACCUAAGGAAGUUUUUAACAGUUUACAGUUAACUUACAGAAGUCAAUUUCUUACAGAAAACUUAACCCUUGCCCAGGAAGAAUAACAGCUAUUUGAUCAAUCAUGCACUUAAUACACAAUUUUGUGUUUCUUUCUAGCCUGCCAAUAUUUCGGUGAGCAAUUUUCUCUUUAACACAAAUCAGAUUACUUUUUUUUUGUUUUUAAAUUUUUUUUUCUGAGUUGUAGAGAUAACAUCUACACUGAAAGGUGGCAUUAAAAGCACAAUGGACAAAAUGUUAAAAAAUUAAAUUAUUCUAAUGACACCAAUAACAUUGGUGACAUUCCCUAAAUGCCCAUUGACAGAUGAAUGCAUUAACAAAAUGUGGUACAUAUAUACCCAUACCCAUUCCUGUUGCCGUCAAGUCGAUUCUGACUCAUAGUGGCCCUAUAGGACAGAGUAGAACUGCCCCACAGGGUUUCCAAGGAGAAGCUUGUGUAUUCGAACUGCUGACCUUUUGGUUAGCAGCGUGAGCUCUUAUCUGCUGCGCCACCAGGGCCCCGGUACAUAUAUACAAUGGAAUAAUACACAGCCAGUAGGAGAAACAAAGUCUUGAUGCAUGCAACAAUAUAGAUGGAGCUUGAAGAUAUUGUGCUGCGUGAAAUAAGUCAAUCACAAAAGGACAAAUAUUGUAUGAUCUCACUUAUAUAAAAAGACAAGAAAAGGCAAAUGUAUACAGACUGAAAUUUAUUAGUGGUUACUAGGGGCAGGAGGGAAGAGGAAAGGGGGGCUAAUGAUGAUGGAAAAUUGCAUUGAUUAAGGGUAGGAUUGCACAACCGAUUAUUAUAAUUGCUUCAAUAGGUUGUACACCUAUAAAAGGGUGAAUUGGCAAAAGCUGUGUGAUAUAUAUUCUCAACAACAACAACAAUUGUAUGAUAAAUAUAUUUACAAUAAUGACCCCCCCAAAAAAAGAGUAGCUACUGGGACUGCUUAUGUACAACUAAAAACCUCGUGGAAUUUGGUUCCUUGGUUUGGAGGUUUAGAAUCACGGCUUUAUGGGACAUCCCGGCUAAUUGGCCAAAUAACACAUUUAGCGCUUCUGUUCUACCUCCUAGUUCAUUGCAUAGGCCUGGGAUCUUAAAAGCUUGCAAGCAGCCAUCCAAGGUGUAACAAUUGGUCUCUAUUCACCUGGAGCAACAGAAGAAAAAAAGACUCAGGAAUAGGAGGAGGAUAUGGAAUGUGUGGCUAAUUGCCUCCAUGAACAACUGCCUCCUUGCCAUGAGACCAGAAGAGCUGAAUGGUGCCUGGCUACCACUGCUGAACAUUUUGAUCAAAGAUUGUAAAGAAGAAUCCUGAUCAAAAAAGCGGGAAAUGCAGAAUAGAAUUUCAAAUUCUCAUUGGCUCUAGACUUUCUGGAACCAUGAAGGCUUGAUGAACCCCCGAAACUAUUGCUCUGAGAUGAUCUUUAAACCUUAAACCAAAAAUAUCCCCUGAAAUUUUCUUAAAACCAAGCAAUAGUUUAGCUUAACUAAUUAAAAAAAAAGGUCUGCCUUGAGCAUUAUGCUCUAUUAAGAACUGUCUGUAUGGGAUCGCAUUGACAGCCGCAACUUAACAGGGUAGAUAGGAACCUUAGGGGGCAGUGAGUUUAUGUCAAUGGGGAAGGAACAGCACAGAAAAGGAGGGUGAGGAUGGUUUCCCGACUCAAAGAAUGUAAUCAAGGUCACUGAAUUGUACACGUAGUAACGGUUGAAUUGGUAUAUGGUUUGGUGUGUAUAUUCUCAACAGCAAAAAAUAAAUUUAAAAAAUGAAAAAAAAAUAAGGUGACAUUCUUUACAAUGAUUUACAUCAGAAAUUACUGUUGCAAAACCCUAUUUCCCUCAUUAUACUGAUAUUAAAAUUUGUAAGAGUCAUAACUAGGUCUAUUUUUUUUUUGCAACCCUAGCGCCAAAAACCAACCCCAUUACCAUUCAGUCAAUUCUGACUCAUAGCGACCCUGUAGGACAAAGUAGAACUGCCCCAUACAGUUUCCAAGGAGCACCUAGUGGAUUUGAACUGCUGACCUUUUGGUUAGCAGCCAUAGCUCUUAACCACCAUGCCACCAGAGUUACCAGCCCUAGAUCAUACUGUUGCAAAAUAUAGGCAACUAUUUGAACUUGGGCAUGGUUAUGGGAAGAUCAAAAACUGGAAAGGCCCAGUAUUUUUUUCCCAAUGGAAAAAAAGGUAUUGACUCAAUGUAUUUAAGUAUACUCAGUCAUUCACUCAACAAGUAUUAAGAGUUGACUGUGUGCUGGGCCCUGUGGUAGUCACUAGGGAUGUCGUGGUGAGUUCUUGCUCUCAUGGAACUUACCAGUGGUGGAGGGAAAGACAGGUGAUAACCCAAUAGUCACACUAAUCUAAAAAGCAACUGUGACAAGUGCUACAAAGAAGAGUACACAAUGCUAUGACACCUUAUAACAGCAGGAGUUGACCUCCUCGGGGGGAUCAAGGAAGGCUAUUCCAAGGGAGUAACUCAAAAACAAGACCCAAAGGAUGAAUAAGAGGGAAGAAAGAAGGAACGAGUGUUCAUACAGACAGAGAAACCAAAAUAUGCAAAGGCCCCGUGGCAGGCAGGAGCAUGGUGACAGGAAGAACUUAAAGAAGACAAAUGUGGCUGUAGUGCAAAGAGUGAGGGGACUUGAGAUAAGGCUGGAAAAAUAGUAUGUUCCAGAAGAUGCGGGACCUUGUAGGCCACAUGAAGACAUUUUGUCUUUAUCAUAUCCGUAAUGGGAAACCAUAAAGGUUUUAAGCAUGAGGAUGAUAUGGCAUUCAUUAUGAAGAGACCAUUUUGGCUGUAGUCAGGUGAACAGAUUGUGGGAGAGCCAGAGUAGAUGUGGAUAGAUUAGGAUGUUGCUAAUGGGGAUGGAAAGAAAUGGAUGGAUUCUGGACAUUUUUAGGAAGUAAUAUAAACAGAAUUGACUUUUUUUUUUUUUUUUUGACAAAAGGCAGGCUAUGGGGAGGGCGAGGAACACGAAGGUAUCAAAAUACACCUAAGUACAACUGGAUAGAAUGGUAGGGUAGUCCACUGGAAGAGGACCAAGUUUGGGGAGCAAGUUGAUUUUGAGGAGGUACUUGGAGAGGUCAAGUCGGCAGUUGGAUAUAUCUGCCUGAAGAUCAGAGGAUGAAAAGUCUGAACUGGAAAUAGAGACUGGGGAAUUCAUCUGUGUGCAAGGGGUAAUUGAGCUGUGGAUGUUGGGUGAGUUGCCUAGGGAGAGAGUAUAGAUUGAGUUGAGGAGAAGACUGAGGACUGAGCCUCAAGAAAAGCCGACAUUUGUAAUGAAAAAGAGCCAAUGACAAUACAUGGUUUAUUUCUCUACUUCUGAAAGUCAGAAAUCCUGACUUCUUCCUCUUGCUUUGCCACCCAGUUACUUGGUAACACUCAAAAAAGAACUCUCCCCUCUUUAAGUCAACAUUACGUUUUCUGAAGGAGAUCAUGCCAUUUUUAUGAGUGGGUACUUUAGCUUUUUACCAAGUAUUAUUAGGAAGAUGCUAGUAAAUGAUGCUUUAAAUUUGGAAUAUAGAGGCAGAAAUUUCACUUGUUAAAACAUUAAGCCUUAUUCUGAGAAUGUGGGACCCAGAGAGAGAGAGCUGCUGUACUCUUUUCAGAGUGGUUCCUGCUGGGGUGGGAAAAGGGAUAGCCCCUUUACUAUUGUGAUCUUCAAGGUGCUCGGGGUCCUACAUGCCCAGCCAUUCUCUGGGAGUAGAACUAUGCUUUCAAGGUUUGUAUACUUCCAGUCGAUGACUGCUUUGGGAAAGAGGGGGAAAAAAAAGGCCAAGGAUUUUCCUUCCUUUGUUAGCUCAAUUAAGUAGUGCAUAUUUUUUAUGUCCUUGGGGCCUGGAAGGAAGGAACAAGCUGAUAAUGUGGUCGAUUCACCUUUUUGACCUUAGUCAAAAAGUUAAUAAUCUUUUUAGCAGGCAAUGUGGGAGCAGUACAUUCAGAGUCAGCAUCUCUGGUUCUCAUACUGACUCAUAUGCUGGGUCAUCUUGGGGUAAAUCAUAUAAACUCCUUCCAUUUCAGUGUCAGUAAUACCACUUGUCCCCCCAUCUCUUGGGGUUUUUAUGAGGGUCUUGAUGAGAUCACAGAUCUAAAGCAUUUUGAAAAUGUCAGAUAUUAUCAUGCAAAAAAGUAAACCAUCCACGGGAAGCCAGUCUAUCUUGAAUAUGAUACAACUUUGUUACACCACACAUGUAUCAAUUCCUGUUCUCCUUUUCUUAUUUCCAAAUCAUGUUUCUCUCCUUUGAGAAUAAAUCCUUCUGAGUGAUUGCGAUAUAUGCUUGCUGCUUCUACCACAACAACUAAAUAUCAAAAUAAAACAUUAUUGUUAUAUUAAUCAAUGGUCCAGUUUACAAAGAGAAACUCUAAAACUAAAAAAUACAAAACCAAGAUCAGUUUUAUCAUAAUAUGAGCUCAAAGGCCUUGACUUAACCCACUAGGCCCUACAUUAUCCAAUUCCCAACUAUUUCUUUGACUUUAUCUUGUACAGCUCCCCCCUGUUUUAGCCCUGUUGGCCUCCUCGCUCGUCCUUGAAUAACAUAAGCACCGUCUUGUCCCAAGGCCUUGGCAUUGCUGCUACUUACUCAGAAUGCAAUUCCCCCUGACAUCCCUCACUUCAUUCAGGUCUCAGUGGAUGGGAAGGACUUCCCUAACUAAUUACCUUAAUUACCCAUAUCUAAAAUACACACCUCUGGCCCUCAUCACCCUUCUCUCUCUCUCCCUCCUUUGUUAUUCUUCCCAGCACUUAUCACCACUUGACAUCCCAUACAGUAUUUGUCUGUUUUCCUUUCAACAAGAACAUAAGCUCCAUGACAGCAGGGACUUUGGUCUGGUUUGUUCCACUGUUGUAUUCUUGGCACUUAGAUUAGUGCCUGGCACAUAGUAGGCACAAGAUAAAUAGCUUUUGAAUAAAAGAAUGAAGGAACAUAUUCCUCCUGCUCCUCUGACUGGUAAAAUCCUUCCUAACACAGCACCCUGCAACCAUGCACUAAAGGAAUUAGAAUGGGACGCUAAGCAACGAGAUGUUUCUAUGGCCAUGAUCAUUUGGCAGUCUUUGCAAAAAUGCGGGGAGGAACAUCAAGAUCACACAUGAUAUUUUGCCGUAAGAGAAGUCCUUAACGCCAUCAGCAAAACUGGGCUGUGACAACUUUUGAGUAAAUCUGGCUGCCUUGAAAAUUCCUACAGAUUCGCAAGUUCCCUUAUGGCCACGGGGCUGUUGGUGGGAAUUGGACAUCUCAUCUAGUUGUUCCAUAAACUUGUUACCUUACCAAAUUAAAUGUGUUGGGGUCAGCAAUGAGAUGUGAUUAGCAUUGUCAGAAUAGAUUCACUGAUAACCAAGUCCUGGGAUAUAACCAAGGAGCCCUGGUAGCACAGAGGUUAAGUGCUUGGCUGCUAACUGAAAGGUUGGCAGUUCGAACCCACCAGCUGCUCUGCAGGAGAAAGAUGUGGCAAUCUGCUCUCAUAAUGAUUACAGCCUUGGAAAUCCUAUGGGCAGUUCUACUCUGUCCCAUAGGGUCACUAUGAUUUGGAAUCAACUUGAUGACAAUGGGUUUGGGAUAUAACCAGGUUACUGGCAUUAUCAGGAUUCCUUGAGUGCCACAAAUGGUUAAGCACUCGACUACUAGUCAAAAUGUGUGUGGCUCAAGCAUCCAGAGGUACCUCAGAAGAAGAGCCUGGUGAUCUGCUUUUGAAAGGUCACAGCCUUGAAAACUCCAUGGAGUACAGUUCUGUUCUGCAACACACGGGGUCACCAUGAGUCAGAACAGACUCUCCGCCAACUGUUCCUUCCUUCCUUCAUUUCUUUCUUUCUUUCUUUUUCUGUCUCCCUUUCCCUCUUCUUUUGUUUUCUAAAACGCACUGUAAUAAUGUUAGUUCAUAGCAACACAAACCAGCGAAGAGAGGACAUGAAAAUUUACUGCUGCCAAAUGCUGACCCCAAAUGGCAGUUACCGUCACAGAAGGAAGAAGCAAAUCUUUGUGUACAAACUGAUGCACAAUAUGGCUUAUCUGUUGAUUGGAAGAAUCUUGAUUCUAUUGGGAUUGGGUGUCUAUUUUUUAAAUGAUCCUUUGACCGAGAUCAUAUGACCACUUUAUGGAAGGAGGUGAUGGUCUAUCAGAGUACAUCGCUGAACUAACAGAAUCCAUAAGAACAAUGAACAAAAUAUAGAAAGCAAAAUAGAGCUAAGCAUUAGCUGUGGAUAUAGUCAUGGCAGAACUGUUUGGAUGCAGUCUAUUAAAUCAUAUCAGAAAACUGAAUGAAAUAGGUUAGGUUUCUCAGUCACGCCUUUUAUUUAGUGAGAUGUGUUCUCGUAAUUUUUAAACUUUAUAGAGUAUGGCUUAUUACUUUAGUACUAUAGUUAAUUAAAUACCAAUUGCUUACAAGGUAGAAGUAACCCAAGUAUUGAGACAUUUCCACUUCUUACAUGCUCAGAGGUAGGCAGAAUCCUAAGCAGUGAAUACCAAUACCUGGAACUAUUUUUUCACUCCUUGGCAAUGACCUGGGAUGAGGUGAAACUCCUAGUAGAGAAUUCUUUGUCUUCAUCCUCUUCCUCCUCAACGUCAUCUCAGAGGUGAUACUCCUCGGAGAGAAUUCUUUGUGUUCCUCCUCUCCCUCUUCCACGUCAUGUCACCACCAACAACAACGAAGACAUUUAUUGAUUGAAUUUUGUGUGUCUGGCACUCUGCCAAGGGCUGGCGUUUUAAAAGUCUUUCUACAUCUUGCCUCUAAAUCUCAAAAUUCUAAGUGGUCCCACUUGGAAACGACAGCAUAUAAACUGACUUGGUAUUUAAAGAUCAGGAAUGGAGUGGCUUUUUUGGAGUAAAAGCUUCAGGAAGGCAGACAGGGUAGUGGAGUGUUUAAGAACACAUGUUCUGCCGGGAGUCAGAGUCCACCAACUCGAAUUCCUGCUCAGGCACUUUCACAAGCUCUGUGACAUUGGAUAAGCUGCAUAACCUCCCUGAUCGUUACUGUCCUCAUCUAUAAAGCAGGAAUAAUAAUAGUAUACUGUAAAGUUGCGGGGAAUAAAUGAGAUAAUCUAUGUAAAGUUCUUAGACCUGAGCCUGAUACAUAGAAAGUGCUCAAUAAAUAUUAGCUAUUAUUAUGCAAGAAACUCAAACAAGUACAGGCACUACAAACAGCAACUCUGGCCACAAAUUUUAAAAAUAAACAAACUUCUUUUGUUAAGAUCGUGUAGAAAGACUGUCAAUCACCCAAUGUCUUUUUGGCGUACAAUUCUCAUACACAGGGAUCAUUAUAAGCAUGUAACUAGAAGUCCAGCAAUAUAUUGGAAGGUAAACACAGAUUCAGAGCUUAAAAAAAAAAAAAAAAACCCAUACAUUUUUCUAAAUAAGAGGUUGGAAACUGUUCCUUUAAAAGGUCAGAUAGGAAAUAUUUUAGGGCUUUGCAGGAUAUAAGGUCUUGUUGCAAUUACCCAACUCUGUUGUUGUGCUACAAAAGAAGGCAUGUUGUUGUCAGGUGCUGUCCAGUUGAUUUUGGCUAAUAGGGACCACAUGUAACAGCGUAGAACUGCCCCAUAGGGUUUUCUAGGCUGUAAUCUUUACAUUUUACAGGAGCGGAUCACCAGGGCUUUCUCCCAAUGGAGCUGCUGGGUAGGUUUGAACCACAGAUCUUUUGCUUUGUAGCCAAGCACUUAAUCGUUAUGUCACCAGGGCUCCUGUGUGCUAGGUCCUAGGAAAGCAUAUAAGAAGGAGGAUUUGACCUAGUCAUGGAGCUCAAGGUAGGCUUCCCUGAGGAACCUAAACCUAAAACUUGAACUGAGAUCUGACAAGUGAGUAGUAGUUAAGCAUUAAGAUACAGGACCAUUCCAAGCAAAGGGAAUAGCAUAGCUCUUUGAUGGUAGAAAGUAUGACGAAUUCAAGGGACGAAAAUAAGGUCACUGUGAUUGGAGUCCUGAAAGCCAGGUGGAGGAUGGCGGGAGAUGGGGCUGGAAAGGUAGAUAGGAGCCAGACCAUGCAGGACCGUGUAGUAAAAGCAAUCAAUUAUUCAUUUUUUCAGCAAAUAUUUAUUGAAUACCUAUUCUCUGUCAGGCUCUGGAUACUAUGGUAAGGAAGAAAGGCAAACAUUAAACAAAUAACACUCAAAUAAAUCUAUAAUUACAAAGCUCUGUCUCUAGAAGUUUUAUGCCCUGAAACUCUAACCAGUGAGUAUCCUGAUUGCUUAAAAAAAAAUUACCUGGCCUGUUCCCAGGAUGCAAUUUAACCCGGUGCCCCUAAAGGCUCCACAGCCAAAUUAGUGCUACAUGCAAAUGUAUUACUCACCCCACUGAUUUCUUUUUGGAAUCAUGGGUAGGCUUAAUAUCCCAUCCCCAGGACUUAGCCUUGUGAAUCACCAUGUCAGGCAUCACUUCCAGGUUAACAAUGAGCCGAUGAUGGUGCCUCUCAUGUUAUUCACAGCAAGUCUUUAAGACUUGCAAUUAAGGAUGGUAUCAUGGACAAGAUUGUCAAAAUAAACUGCAUCUUUCUGAGUAUUUGAUGUACUAAUUUAUUGUUUAAACCUGAGCUUUUUCGUUUUGUUUUGCUACCUGCUUUUCUUACAUAUUUAUUUCUGUGGUGAAAUCUGUCAAUGUAUUCUUGCUUACAUUGGAAGAGACAGAGACGUGUUCCAAGGAAUUGCAAGUUUAACAAAUGCUUUUUUGAUGUUGAUGACUGUGAAAACCUAACAAGGCUUUUAAACAGUUUCAAGGUGAUUUCAUUACAAUGACACUGUUUCACUCUUAACUCCUUGGCCUAUUUUUCUACCAAAGGAGGAAAUGAAGAUGUCAUGGAAUGAUCUGUUUUGUAUAAAGCUGGGCUGAUUGCUAUCCAGUACUUGAUGCCAGCCUAGGUGAGCAAAUGGAUUAAUUGAUGCUUUCCUCUACUGCAAGAAUUCUGGUUCCCAAAAUGUAGUCUGAAGACUCAUGGUGAUCCUCUAGACCUUUUCAGGGGUUUGGAGAGGUCAAAACUAUUUUCAUAACAAUACUAAAAUGUUAUUUGCCUUUUUCUGGGUGCUAGAAAUUGUACUCAUGGUUGCAAAAGCAAUGAUGGAUAAAACCACCGGUGCCUUAGCAUGGAUCAAGGCAGGGGCACCAAACUAUCCUCAUAGUCAUUGUAUCCUUUACCACCAUGCACUUACAGAAAAAAUUACGCCAUUUCAUUUAAUAAUGCCCUUGAGGAAGCAGUAGAAGUUAUGAUUAUUUUUUCAUUAAAAACGAAAUUGUCAACAAGCAAUGGGUUUAUUUUCAUUUUUAAAUGAAUUAACAAGUAGUUUAAAAUUUCUUAGUUUUAAUUUCUAAUUCAAUAAAUAUCAAUAGCUGUAACCCAUAUAAGCAAAAGACCUUUGGGGUCCUCAGUAAUUUUUAAGAGUGUAAAGGACUUCUCAGGUCAAAACGCUGAGAACUGCUUCCCUAUUAGCUUUCCAAGCAUCACUCUUUAUCAAGACAUACUUUUCUGAGUUUCAAUUAUGGUUUGUAUGCAGACUUUUCAUGUCUCCAGGUCUAUCUCUUCUUCAUGACUUCUCAAAAAUAGUGGCUCAGAGCUCUAAAAUAACCUUCUAAAUUUUCUUAAAUAUUCUCCUCUGCGUUCAACCAGUUUGUUUUUCCUCAUUCUCCUAGCAUAUUUUGGAAAGAGCUGUGUAGCACUGCAUCUAGCUUUUCCCAUUCUUUGCCCUGUAAGAUCAUGGUCUUUUCUUUGUAGAACUCUGUCCCAAUUCCUUGGUGGUAAUGAUAGUGCUCUACCCUCAUCUCCACCCUAACUAAAAAAAGCAGGGGGUGGGGGGCAUGAUCCAGGACUGGACCAAGCAUAUAGCACUGCAUCUCCCUGGAAACAGUGAUUGUUCCAAGGGAAAGGGCAUGUGAGCUAAGCUAAAGGAGUUGGGGUAAAAAAAAUACUUCCCCCAAAUUGUCUGAAAUCAAGGCAGCCCUCACUUUGAUAAUGAGCUGCAAGGCUAUAUGAUUGGAGCUACCACCAAUCAUCUUUUUCCAUGAUAUAGGGAGAACUUGUCUACAGAAUGAAUGCAAGCAGAAACAAGAAGAAAUAAAGAUGAGUGGAGAGAAAGCUCUGACAAUGUCGAGCUCUUAUUCCAGUCUCUGAGGGCCCUGGUUCCUGCUUGCUCUUCCUUCCUUCAAUUCUGCCAGCUAUGUGAAUGAAUAAAUUCCCCUUUGAGCUAAGGUUAGUUUUCCAGUUGAAAGAGUUUAUAAUAAUACAUUUGAGAAAGUUAUUUAACCUUCUGACCUAAGUUUCCUUAUGGGUAUAUAUACUCCCUCACCUCACAGGUUGGAAGGAUUUAAUAAGGAAAUGUUAAAACACAUGGAAAACUGUAAAGCACUAGACAAGUGUUGUGCACAAUAAAUAUUUUCUCUCUACACUCAUGUAGCAAGGCAACUGGCCUCUACUUCCCCAGUAACUAUUUUUAGACCACUGAAUAUACUCAUCCCAAAUCCGUGGGUCCAAAGUUGGCUUAGGAGGCCCUUGAAGAUCCUCUGGCAGUCAAGUCAGGUUUAGAAACCCUUUUUAGCACGGUUACCCUACCUGGGGAAACCCUGAUGGCAUAGUGGUUAAGUGCUACACAGCUGCUAACCAAAUGGUCAGCAGUUCAAAUCCUCCUGGCACUCCUUGGAAACUCUAUGGGGCAGUUCUACUCUGUCCUAUCGGGUUGCUGAGUCGCAAUCGACACGAUGGCACUGGGUUUGGUUUUGGUUUGACCCUAUCUGGAGGGUUCACCCUAUACAUAGGCCAGUUCAAGAAUCAUAAGGACCCCAGGAAAACAGUGACUGUUCAAGGACCUGGUUGGAGGUCUAGAUCAACUCUCAGAUGACUUUAGGAGGUCCAGACCAAAAAGAGGAAAAAGAGACAAUAUUAAAGCCAUUGACUCUUCCUUGCUGAGAAGGUUCACUCAGCGAAAAAUAAAGAAAUAAAGACUAGAAAGGCUUCAGGGAAUUGUCACAUGGUAACUAAAGAAGGCUCCCACACAACUAAAUGCCACUUACUAUAAAGCAUAAAUGAAUGAAAAAAAAAAAACUCAAAUGAUGUGAGGAACAAAGUCAGGUGAAUCAUCUAUGGCAUAUGGAAUUUGGGGUGUAGGUGGGGGCUAAAUGUCAGAGGGAUAUUAGUGGCAUCUGUGGGUUUUUUUUUUUAUGGCUUGCUCAGCAGCUCUAGGUUGUGAGGAUAUUUUAACUAAGUAUUCUGUCACUGUGAUCUGAGCUAUCCAAGGACUCUAUUGGGUCAGAACCAAGACCUUCUAAUUCAUUAGUGACCGCUCUGUACUGUUUCAUUUUAGAAAAUGACACACAAAAAAAUUGGAUGCCUCCUGGGGGACAUUCUUUGGUUCUGUCUUAUCAAAGACUGACUUCUCCUCAAAUGACUCUUCUAAUAGUUCCAUUGCCCCUGUAACUUAAUUUGAAUAUAUGCUACAGACAGCAGGAUUUCCUAGGUGAGGCUUCCCACCAGGAAGUGGAUUGUUUCAACUCAGAUGCAUGCCAAACCACCCAGCAAGAGAGUGAGAGCAGCGGAAGAGUAGUUUUACUUCAAUUGUUAAAACAGGACUCCCCACACAUCUCAACGAAUUCAAGAACAGGUAGACAAGCAUUUGCAAUUUAGAUCCCAGAUACCAUUUUUGCUCUUAGAUGAGGAAUAAGAGUGGCUUUUAAUUUUGAACAAAACCCAUUGUCAUUGAGUCGAUUUCGACUCAUUAGCAGCCCAAUAGGACAGAGCAGAACUGCCCCAUAGUGUUUCCAAGGAGUGGCUGACGGAUUCAAACUGCCAACCUUUUGGUCAGCAGCCCUAGCUCUUAACUACUACGGCACCAGGGUUUCCAAUUUUGAACAAGGACUUGCUAAUUAAUAUUCUUUGUUUCGUUUUCAGUUCUGCCAGGGGCCUGCCAGAUGGCCUUGUUUCUAGGGGAAAAUGUCUUACUCAUUGCUCAGUUUCCUUUUUAAUAUAACAAUGUAACUAAUCUUCCUUUCUCAUUGUCUUAUGACUCUCCCACAUCGAUGAAAAAUCAUGGGAAUUCAUAACCAUUAAAUCCAGAGAGAACAUAACAUACCACUUAUUGAAGCCCUGAAUUUACGACGCUCCCCCCAUGUCAUUGAACCUAUCCCUCUGUUAAAAACAAAUUUAAUCUCUGAAUUUUUUUGGUUUGCCUGUCUCAAUAGAUAGUGUUCCCUUUUAUAACCACACAGGAAUCGACUUUGCCGUGCCUAGAAGUAAAUUUGGAACAUGAAACUUGUAGUUUACGACUGGGAAAAAAAAAAGUUCAGUUAACCACAGACAAGGAAACUCUACACCAGUGAGGCCAGAGGCAUGCUCUAAACAGUCCUCAUGACCCAAACUGCCUCAGUUUUGGCCUGCAGACUGAACAAACAAACUAGAACAGUGAAAGCAAAUCAGACUUUCAUUAGCGCUGCCUUAUUGAAAAGCAUGCUUGUUUGAUAUGAGGAAACAAUCAUUUAAUGUUCUAUGGCAUUCAGGUGUAGCUUUAUUAUUGCUUUUUUACAAUGAAAAGAAAUGGAUUUAGCUGGCACUGGAAAAUUGUAGAAUAGGAAAUGCCAAGGAUGGGGGCGGGGGUGUAGAGGAGCAGUCAGCCGCCUCUCUGAUGCGUAUAAAUCUCUGCUUAACUCUGUUACAAGGCCAUUUGGCCUACCUGGCUUCCUGACCCAACUCUGUCAGGUACAUUAUAGGGUCCAAGGCACCAACCUACCCUACCUGACUCCAAUUUGUUCUAGUUCCUUGAAUUCCUUCCAGGCCUUCUUUUCUUUUAGGAAAUGAAAAUUUUAGGAGACAGUAUUAAGCAGGACUAAUAAACACUGCAAACGUUCACAGAGGGAUUCACAGUGAUCCACUCAGGCUAGACCUUUGACUAUGACUAUUUAGCUCAUGUGGGGUCUAGAAUUUACUCAGGAGAAUCACUUUUGCAUCUCAAGGAUGAACAAAUGCAGCCAUAAGAGUGAAAGUCUUCAGGCCCCUUAGCUCACUUGCACAGAUUCAGUCAGCCUCUGGGUGAAAGAAAACACAAUGACCAAAGUACACCAAUUAUUAAAAGAUAAUGUAAUGUGAUUCAUUCAAAGAAUGGAGUACAGAAGUAUUUAUUUGUUCCCAUUUAUGCUUCUUCCAAAACAUUAAGCAGAAGCCUACCACCCAAUGUGGAUAUUGGUCCAGAAUAAUAAUAGCAUUUAUUGAACACGUACAAGAGGCUCAGCACAGUACUAGCCAGGUGCUUUACAUAAAUCAUCUCAUUUCAUCCUCAUACCCAGCCUAUCCAAAAAACCAAACCAAACCCAUUGCCGUCGAGUCAGUUCAGACUCAUAAUGACCCUAUAGGACCCUAUAGAACUGCCUCAUAGGGUUUCCAAGGAGCUGUGGUGGAUUCAAACUGCCGACCUUUUGGUUAGCAGCCAAGCUCUUAACCACUGCACCAGAAGGGCUCCAUGCAGCCUAUCAGGAAGGUGUCUUAGUCAUCUAGUGCUACUAUAACAGAAAUACCACAAGUGGAUGGCUUUAACAAACAGAAAUUGAUUUUCUCAGAGUCCAGUAGGCUAGAAGUCAGAAUUCAGGGCACCAGCUUCAGGGGAAAGCUGCCUCUUCUCUGUCGGCUCUGGAAGAAGGUCCUUGUCAUCCAUCUGCCCUUGGUCUGGGAGCAUCUCAUCACAGGAACCUCAGGUUCAAAGGACGCACUCUAUUCCCAGCACUGCUUUCUUGGUGGUAUGAUGUCCCCAACCCUCUGCUAGCUUCCCUUUCCUUUUAUCUCUUGAGAGAUAAAAGGUGGUGCAGGCCACACCCCAGGGAAACUCCCUUCACCUUGGAUCAGGGAGGUGACCUAGAUAAGGGUGGUGUUACAAUCCAAUCCCACCCUAAUCCUUUUAACCACAGGCAGAGAUUAUGAUUUAUAACACAUAGGAAAAUCACAAAAUAGAGGACAACCACACAUGGCCUAAUCAAGUUGACAUAUGUUUUGGGGACAUAAUUCAAUCCAUUACAGUGUUAAUAUUGAUUCCACUGCUCAUUAGCUGGGAAUUAGAGUCUGUUGCCAGACCCUAUACUCUUAACCACUAUGCUACCCUGCCUCCCAUUUUUACAGGAGGAUGUUGAGGAUUCUGCGGACUAGAUCAAAAGUGUGGGCUACAGACCAGUGCUGGUCCAUGAAUUUUUUGUUACCAGUCUGUGUCAAUGGAGCCCUCGUGGUGCACUGGUUAAGAGCUCAGCUGCUAACCAAAAGGUCAGCACUUUGAAUCCACCAGUCGCUCCUUGGAAACCCUAUGGGGGCAGUUCUACUGUCUUAUAGGGUCACUAUGAGUCAGAAUUAAGUUUCGUUUUUUGGUCUGUGUCAAGGUAAGUCAGAAAUUAUGAGUUAGCUUUUAGAAACAUUUAUAGUAAUUUAACAAUAUUUUAUGUUUAAUGAACCUAAUUUUGUAAAUCUCUGAGAAAUUUUGGUUCUCUUGUCUCUAUAGGUAGUGUUUCCUUUUAUAACCACGCAGGAAUCUAGUUUUUUGUUUAAUAUAAUUUUUUUUAAUUUAUUGUGCUUUAGGUGAAGGUUUACAGAGCAAAAUGGUUUCACAUUCAACAAUUCGUACACAGAUGUUCUAAGACGUUGGUUGCGGUACCCUCGAUGUGUCAGCACUUUCCCCAUUUUUGCCCUGGGUUCCCUGUUAUCUUUCAUCUGGAUUCCUACUCCUUCCUGCCUUCUUAUCUUUGCUUUGGGGCAGAUUUUGUCCUUUUAAUCUCGUAAUUAACUGCUCUAAGAAGCUCAUUCCUCCAGGGUGGUAUUGGUUUUUUUGUAGGCCUAUCUCUGGUUUGGCUGAAAGGUGGUCUCCAGGAAUGUCUUCAGUUCCAUGUUAGAAGGGUGUCUUAGGGCCAUAGUUUCAAGGGUUCCUCCAUUAUCUAUCAGACCAGUAAAUCUGGUCUUUUUUUAUGGAUUUAAUUUUUGUUCUACAUUUUUCUCACAUACUGCUUGGGAUCCUCUAUUAUGAUCCCAGUCACAGCAGCCAAGUUUAGUAUCAUUUUACAGUAAUUCAUUUUUAUUGUAUUUUACAAAAGUAUCAGUGCGUGAUGGAUUGGAAUUUUAACAGAAGGAAAGAAAAACUGGUCCUUCACUAUAGAUAGUUUGAGAAUCACUGAACUAACUAGAACAGCAACAAAUCUUAGCUGCAACUAUCGUAGAAGGGAAAAUGGAAGCUAGAGACAUUCUAGUGCUGCCAGAGCCGCCUUCUUUAUGAGGUUUGUGAGGGUUUUCUUUCUUAUCAGCCCUCACCAAUCCUCCCUAAUAAAUUUACCCAUGGCUCUGUCGGGUUCUAGUAGAACAAUUAAUAACACCCCUUUUCUUCUCCCUAAUUGGAAAGCAACUGAGACAUGGACACCAAAGCCAGAUACAAGAUCGAAAUAGUUACAAAACUGGACUGGAAGAUAGCUGAGAUGCACACCCUCAACUGUCUUUCUAAUACCUCCUUUCCCCCCACAUCCUAAAUUAGGAAGCCUCGCUCACCUAGUCACUGGCACAGUGGGACAAGCUCAGGCCUUCCCCACAAGCUAAGAGCAAACACAGUACAAUCCUUAGGAAGAAGGCCUGGAAAUGGCAGAGCAGAGCAUUCUCAGUUACUACUUACAAACUCAUUACUUAGAUAAAUCCUUCUUCAUUUGUUAGGGCAUAAGGGAGGGACAAAAUCUGUAGGUGGUACAAAUAGUUAAGCAUUUGACUACUAACAGAAAGGUUGGUGGUUUAAAUCUACCCAAACAUGGUUCAAACCCACCCAGAGGCACCUUGGAAGAAAGGCCUGGCAGGCCUUGCAAUUUGCUUCUGAAAACCCUGCAGAGCACUGUUCUACUCUGACACACGUGGGGUCAUCAUGAAUUGGAAUCGACUCGAUGGCAACUAGUUUGGUUUUCUGGUUUUAAAAGAGGGACAAGGAGAGAGAACAUGGGUGUCCCUCUCGUGUAUGUUUCCUUAAGGAGAUGUGAGGCUAAGGGAAUGGAAGUUCCCUUACCAUGUAUCAUUUAUCCUUUCAUUUAAUUUCCACCUGGAAUAUUCUCCUAAAUGCGCCCAAUCCAAUCUAUGAGCUUAUUCUUUUUUUCACUUCAUUUGAACAUCUCCUGAAAGUCUGUCUCCAUCAGAAAGCCUUGAGAAAGUGGUGAUAAUUCCUCAUUCCAGCUCUUUUGUUCAACUCUGUGAUAAAUGCACCCACCAUCUGAGUUGGGAUCGACUCAACAGCAAUGAGUUUUUUUGUUUGUUUUUCUUAUUUGCGCUCACUGAAAACAUGUAAUUUACUAAAUUAAUGUAAGUUACUAAUUUUUCCAGUGACCCACUUGUUUAAUGUACUUCCACCAUGGAAUCAUCUACAGCAUUAUAAAUCCAAUGAGGGCAUGGGAUGGUGCAUAUGGUCACUAAUUUGCAACAGCUCAGUAUACUAACAGGUAUUUAAUGACUACCUUGAUCCCAAGGAUGAUGAGAGUACAGAUGGUGUUAAAGAUGUCUCCCUUGGCUAUUUGCAUUUAAGUCCUUAACCUUGCAUGAUAAACUGGUUUUUCCACUUCUACUCUUGUUUUCCUGUAACACUUGAUUUGCAACUUUGGUUCCCUUGUAUCAGUUCUCAAACAAAUACUUUUCAACAACCUAUUAAUAUUAGGAAAACUCAAUGCCUCUCAUAUGUGACCUGACUUUCUGAAACUCAAUUCUUCUAUGGAGUAAUUCUUUGUGUGUUUGUAUUGUCGGAUGCCAUCACAAAGCCAUCACAGCCCUGUAGUAUGAACAAGUUUGUCAUCUAAUGCUUCCAGCCUCCUUUUUCUGCCCUCUUUGUCAUUGCUCUUCCUUCCAGGUGCCUAAGGCUCCCAUGGCACCUCCAAGGCUUCCCUGAGCUGUCCAUGUGGCAUCCUUCUCAGACCUGCCAUCUCUGCCAGCACUCUACACCUUUUCAUCUCACUCUUGUUGCUAUUGUUGUUAGCUGCCAUUGAGUGAGCCCCCAACUCAUGGUGACCCCAUGUACAAUGGGAUCAGACCAUUGUGAUCCAUAGGGUUUUCACUGAACGGUUUUUGGAAGUAGAUCGCCAAGGCUUUCAUCCUUGUCUGUCUUAGUCUGGAAGAUUCCCUGAAACCUGUUCAGCAUCACAGAAACAUGCAAGCCUUCACUGACAGAUGGGUGAUGGCUGCGCUUGAGGUGCAUUGGCUGGGAAUCAAACUCAGUCUCCUGCAUGGAAGGUGAGAAUUCUACCACUGAAUCACCACUGCCUCCACUCUUUUGUCAGUCCUCUUUAUAAGUUUCUGUUGCAUUUUAAAAAGUGCCUUCGGAGCUCUUUCCCCCAAAGAAGUAACACUAAUAGUGGGAAUGUCACACACUACGACAUAUUACUAGGGGGACAGCUCGGAGCAGGGAGGCUUUUGAGCACUCUUCAGACCACCAUGUAGGUGACUAUAUACAUGUAAGGCAAAGUCUAUGUAUUAAUAUAUAUAUUUUUUAUAUGUGCACAUAAUUACAUUUUAAAGGAUGAGCUAUAUAUUCAUAUAUAUGCAUAUAAAUGCAAUUUUCAUAAAUGCAUAUCUGCACAAACCAUUCAUUAGGACAUCAAUAAGAACAUCUUCUCUCAUCUGGCAUCUCUAGUUUCUGGCAGUAGAUGUAUCCACGGUGAUCUCAUAAAAUUAAUUGCUACUUUCUUAAAAAAAAAAAGCUGCAGUAGAUAAAGGCUUAAUUAGAUGGUGAUCUGAAUCUCUGUAUCUCAGUGUUACAAAAUUGUUCAGCCUGGAAUGCACCCACCACCACUUAGCAGCUUGGAAACCCUCCUUCAAGCCUACCUUGGACUCCAAACUGGCUUGGCUUAGAGCAGACUGCUCUGAAUGGCUCUUCAUUGCACAAAACCUGCUUCCCUCACCCUUGAUUAGGUUCCUGGUCUUAGGCGGCUUCAGAGCUCAAGGUAUGGUGUCAGGUAUCCCUAACCCCCAUCUCCAACCCUGUGGCCUUGUACUAUUUUCUAUUACUUCAUUUGUAUUUGCUUUAUGUCUCUAACUCAGGUGUAUGAGGAAAUUUGGAAUAAGCAAAAAGAGUGCUGGGUAUCUCCAAUGGAAAUUAUGCAUUGUCUAGAGCAGAUUCUUCCAGGUUAUGGAUUCUAGUUUUUUAUUGUCUUUGAGCUACUUUAAAACUGUAUGUUGUAGAUAACGAUAGCAGUGCAAAAUAAUUUUGUCCAUAGACAUGCAAAUAAAUCCUGUCUGGUGAAGAUUGAAUUGACUUCCUUCUCCCUCUUCCCCACCAUGCGAAAGGCCAGUUUCCCAUCCCUUUGUAAAUUCAUUUCGACAUUCCUUUACUCAUAUAAAUGUGUGCUACUUUGACUACUCCUUUGAAUCGGUUGUAACAUCUUGCCAGUUCUCUCAUUAAUAACGGGUUAAAUACAAUUUUUAACACAUGUUCAUUUUGUACUUGUAUGAGAGUCAUGAUUAACAGCUGUAAGCUCCUUGCGGGCAGAGCUUCUGCAGAACUGGAGUGGUCAGUGGCUUCCACUUACUGGCUGUAGACCUUGAGCAAGAUACUUAACCACUCUGUGCAUCAGAAUCCACGUAUGGGCUAUGGUAAGAAUGCCUUCUCUGUCUGCAUUAAGGGCUAGCUAUUUUUUAUGAGGAUAAAGGAGCUCUGGUGGCGCAGUGGUUAAGAGCUAGGAUGCUAAACAAAAGGUUGACAGUUCAAAUCCAGCAGCCACUCCUUGGAAAUCCUAUGGGGCAGUUCUACUCUGUCUUAUAGGGUCGCUAUGGAUUGGAAGUGACUUGAUCGCAACUGGUUUGGUUUGGUUUUGGUAUGAAGGUAAAAAGGAGCCCUGGUGGUAGCAGGUUAAGUGCUGGGCUGCUAACCAAAAUGUCGGUAGGUCAAACCCACCCAGUGGCUCCACAGGAGAAAGAUGUGGCAGUCUACUUCUGUAAAGAUUUGCAGUCUUCUCCACCAGACUGAGUCCAGCACAACUAGAUGGUGCCCAACUACCACCACUGACUGCUCUGACAGGGAAUCACAAUAGAUGGUCCCAGACAGAGCUAGAGAAAAAUGUAGGACAAAAUUCCAACUCACAAAAAAAGACCAGACUUACUGGCCUUACAGAGACUGGAGAAACCCCGAGAGUAUGGCCUCCAGACACCCUUUUAGCUCAGUAAUGAAGUUACUCCUGAGUUUCACCCUUCAGCCAAAGAUCAGACAGGCCCAUAAAAGAAAAUGAGACUAAAGGGGCACACCAGCCCAGGGGCAAGGACUAGAAGGCAGGAAGAGGCAGGAAAGCUGGUAACAGGGAACCCAAGGUCAAGAAGGGAGAACGUUGACAUGUCAUGGGGUUGGUAACCAAUGUCACAAAAUAAUAUGUGUACUGUUUAACGAGAAGCUAGUUUGUUCUGUAAUCCUUCAUCUAAAGAACAAUAAUAAUAAAUAAUAAUAAUUUUUUAAAAAUUACAGUCUUGGAAACCCUAUGGGGCAGUUCUACUCUGUCCUUUAGAGUUGCUUUGAGUCUGAAUUAACUCGACAGCAAUGGGUUAUAAGGAUAAAUAUAUGAGUCUAUAUAUGGACAAGGAUCAUACAAACCAGAAAGUGUUAAAGACAUGUAGAAUCUGUACCUUUCUCCUCUUUGCCCAUCUAAAUGUUGCCCACCCUUUAAGACUCAGCAUGAUUUCUCCUUUCCCCAUUUGAAAACUUUGCCUGCUUUAGCCCCACACUGUUCUCACCCUUCUCUAGACAAAUAUAGUGCUUAUAUGAGUUUAUAUGAGCAAUAUUAUACUAAUUAUUUAAUCCCCUCUAGUGAUUUCAUGUGUGUUAAUUUCAUAUUUUCAGGUAGAUUGUAAAGUUCUGUAGGGCCAGGACAAUGACUUAAACUGGCUUUGCAUUCCCUGUUGCAUAUAGCAGUGUUAGGUUCCUGGUAGGAUGGAUUCUUUGACUGCAAUGGAAUAUCAUUCUGAUGUAAACGCAGUACCUACCUUGCAAAUGAUGUGCACUCAACUGAAGAUGAUGAUGAUGAUAAAGCUGAAGAUGAUUGGUACAAUCACCAUCAAUCAGAAGUUUAUGUGGAGGAAAAGAUGAUUCAGGAAUAUUCUGCCUUCCAAAAAGUAAGAAGAAUGAGAAUAGCUACUUCUUAUGGAACUAUGACUAUGUGUUUGGCACUGUUGUAAACCUUUUACAUAUAUUAACCCAUUUAAGCCUCACAACAACUCUAUGAGGUAGGUGCUAUUAUUAUCCUCCAUUUUACAGAUAAGGAAACUGAGACACAGAUUAAAUAGCUUACUCUAAGGUCACUCAGGAGUGAAUGGAGGCUGGCUCCAGAGUCUAGGCUAUUAACUACUACAUUGAGAAGAAGACAAGUGAGAUACAAAAUAGUUUUUUGUGGGAGUAAGUUUUGCAUUAUUUUUAAAGGAAUUCUUACUAUUAAUUGUAAGAACGAGGAAUUACAUUAAGAAGAAAACAAUAAGGGAUAAAGGAAAAUGUUGGCAAGGAAGAAGGAAUAGUAAUGAUAAUGGGCAGCUUGAGAGUAUAUGACCUUGGGCAAGUCAUUUAACUUCUUAGUAAGAUAGAUGUGGAUAUUACAUGAGAUAAUUCAUGUAAAGUGCACAAAGCAGUGCCUGGUACAUAGUAAGCCUUCAAUAAUGCUAUUAUUAUUACCUAUUACUGUUAUGAACCAAAUUAGAUGAAGACAUCAUGUCUUCUUAUUGUCAGAAUCUAGAAUUUGACUCACAACUAGCAAGUUAGCCUGGCACAGUUUCAUGGAUGCUAUCAGAAGACAGGAGACUCCUGGCUCAGGGCCAAAGGACUUUAUUACUCACAGCACAGCAAGCAGCAUGAGCAUCAGCAUAUUUGCAUUGGUUUCCUUAGCCCCCAAGUCGGACAGGAAUGAUGUGGAAGGGCCAGGUGGCUGCUACACACACAGUGGGUUUGCGUCAGAGUUGAGGAACACUGAAGCUGGGGGAUUCAUUGGUUUUAUAGUAAGCAGUAAGCAAGCUUACUCUUUGUCUGGAGAGAGAUGUUGCCUCAUCUUUCAUGGUUGCUUGGUGCAAAAACAACUCUGAGAAAUGGCCCAGGCAAAGAGCAGUUAGGGACUUGCAUUCUUGGAAUACCCAGCAAGAACUUGCAGGAUUGCUCAGGGACCAUGGCAGAGUGCCUCUCCUAACACUAAUUACCAUUAUUAUUAGUUACUAUUAUGAACCAAAUAAGGAACCUUGGUGGUGCAGUGGGUAAGCACUCAGCUGUUAACCAAAAGGUCGGUGGUUCAAAGCCACCAGUAUCUCUGUGGGAGAAAGAUGUGGUAGCCUGCUUUCUUAAAGAUUACAGCCUUGGAAACCCUGGGGCAGCUCUGCUCUAUCCUAUAGCAUCACUAUGAGUCAGAAUCGAGUCGAUGGCAGCAGGGUUUUUUUGUUUUUGUUAUGAACAAGAGUAGAGGAAGAUGACUUAUCUUUUUUCCCUUUUUAUCUCUGCACACAUUCCCUACUACCUCUUCUCACUAUGGGCCCUGAAUUUUGGUCUUUCGAGGGAUGGCAUAAUAAAUAUUAUAAUGAAUUAUAAAAAAGAGCCUGUUCUCUGAGUUCCUUUGAUUUCUUUUUCCUGACUACAGACUUAGUCUCCUCUCACUGUUGCUUCCUAUUUUUCUUCAGCAUGAAACAUCAUACUUAUCUUUAGUCUCUUCCUCCCCCCCCACACACCCGCAAUAGGCGUUUUGAAAAAGCAUUAAUUUUGUGGAGCCAGAAAGGGCAUAUUAUCUUCCAGUAUAACAUCUCAGCCUGGAAGCCCUGUUUUUUCUAUAUGGAUCUGAAUAAAGCUUCACUUUCUAGGCAAGAUGUGGCUUUCUCCAAAAUGAGCAUUGAAGAUGUAUGAUCAAGAUAAAUUUUGUUUGGCCGCCUGGAAUAGUCAUCUACAUUUCACUGGAUAUUAAACAUGCCUGGAACUGUUAAAGUACAAUAUCUGCCAGAAAUGCUUCCCUAAAUCAGUCAAUAAAUGUUAGUGUGGAAAGAGAACUUAGAUGUUGACUAAUUCUUCUCUUUUACAGAUGACAAAACAGAGGCACACAAAGGUUAUAAGGUGCCCAUGGUCACUGCUCUUCAAAUUCCAUGUCUUUUUGAAUUUAGAAGCUUUCCUCAUCUUUAAGGACUGCCUGCGCUCUCACACCUUGCCUAAGUCCUUAUACUUCUAACCCAUUCUGUGUUGACUUUUUUUUUUUUAAAUAGUAUUUUAUUGUGUUUUUGGUGAAGGUUUACACAGCAGUUUAGGUUCCCAUUCAACAAUUUCUGCACAAGUUGUUCAGUGACAGUGUUACAUUCUUCACAAUGCGUGAACAUUUUCAUUAUUUCUGUUCGGGUUGUCUCGUUUCCAUUAAUCUAGUUUCCUUGCCCCCUUACAUUCUCAUCUUGUUUUAAAGUAAUUGUUGACCAUUCAGUCUCAUAUAGGUGAUUUUUUAAAGGAGCACAGUACUUCUGGGUGAUAUUCAUUAUUUUUUUGAGCCGAUUUGUUAUUUAGCUACAAGGUAACCUCAGGGAUUAGCUUUAGUUCAUACCUUAAAGAGUAUCUCAAGGCAAUAGUCUUGGGGAACCUUCCAGUCUCAACCAGUCCAAUAGGUCUGUUUUCGUUUUUGUUUUUAAGGAAUUUGAGAUUCUGUUCCACAUUUUUCUACCAUUCUAUCAGGGUCUACCUAUUGUGCCCCUGAUUAGAACAGUCAAUAGUGGUAUCCAGGGAGCAUCUAGUUAGUUCUUCCGGUCUUAGGGUAGAUGAGGCCGAGGUUCAUGUAGGCUAUUUGUCCUGUAGACUAGUUUCUUCUUUAAGUCUUUCGUCUCCUUCUUUCCCUUUUCCUCUGGACAAGUAGAAACCAACAGUUGUAUUUUGGAUGGCCUCUUGCAAACUUUUCAGACCCCAGACACUACUCACCAAACUAGGAUAUAAAAACAUACUUUUAUGAACUAUAUUAUGCCAAUUGGCCAAGAUGUCCCAGGAGACUGUGGUCCUAAUCCUUCAAACCCAGAAAUGCAAUCCUGUGAUAUUUGGUUAUGUGUAUUUCUGUGUUGACUUUUAAUAUUUGAUCCCUCAUUCCUUCCUGAACUGUUGCUCUACUGAAUGAUUCCUGCCCUGAGGCCACCCAUACUCCAAAGUAUAGGCAGUGGGAGGCAGUCGGUGAAUACCCCAGGGUGAAGAGACAGUAGACAUUUGAGGCCUUUUGUGACUUUGCUUCAGAAGAUUGAGUCAGCAUGAGCCUUUUGGAGAACAUGUUAGCCAACAGAAAAUUAAUCUAGACAGUAGCCAUAUAUGGGAGAGUUUACUGUUGAAAUUCUUGGAAUGGUAGGCAAGUCAUAACCAUAUAAUUAAAAGUAAUACAAAACAAAACCAACAUAUCUGACAGAGCUGUUUUUUCAGAAUACCACAGGGCAAGUAAAAGCAAGUGAAACCUUUGGACUAUUCUCAUUUUAAAGCCUUUUUCUUGCCCUAGGGACUUGCUCACGUUCCUCUGUGAUUAUAAAGCAUACAGUUGAUUCAGAGCUUCCUUCAGUGGAUUAAUGGUUCAAAAGCCAAACCCUCUGGGCAGGCAAACUUUCCUCCAGCCUUCUUGGGACUUAUUCUUUACUUAAUGCUGAAGGCAUUUCAUGUACUAAUUAGGAACUAUUUAUCUGCUCAUCUUAAUUAAACUUCAAAAUACCUAUACAAAGACUAUAUCAAGUUCACGCCUAUCACUGAAUGGACUUAAUGGUGUUCUUUUAUAUUACUGAAAUUUGCUUCGUACCUUAAAGCCUCUCUUGUUGCUUUCAUAUUCUGAAAAUGUCAACUACAAAAAGGAAAAGAGGAAAGAUAUAGGGUUGAUAAUUAGGUGAUUUAGAGAAAGAUCAUAACACUUUCAAGAUCUAAGGGAAUUAAGAAAAAAAAAGGCAACUUUCCACAACACUCAUUUUUGCCUCUAGGGUUCAUCAAAUUUCAAUACCAGGGUUCCAUGGAAGGGUUACUUUGGUUGCUUCCACCUGUUGGUUUCUCAGCUCUACCAUAACCCCCAUCUAUCAUUUUGGGUCAAAAAGAAAAAUGGAGUUGUAAUUUUCUUUAGUAUCUAGAUCAAGGCUGUUAUAAGUAGGGGUGAACCCCAUUCAAAUCUAGAUAUGCUAUUGUGAUUGAAUAGCAGCCCCAAAGCCUCAGCCAUCCAUAAGCCUCUCCCCAAUGGCCUACUUUUGUACCUAAUAAUCCCCCCACCAAUUAGAGUCCCUGUUCAAGUGAAAGCAUUUUCUAAAUCAGGUCCCCAUUUAAAGUGCCUAUAAUCUGCAGGGGGAGGGGAGAGGAAAGGAAAACUGAGAUAACUAUUAACAUGAACUAGUUUUUUUUUAGUUUAUAAGAAAUAUAUAUGUAAGAAAUUAGGACAUAAAGCUGGAUAAUACUUGUUAGAAGGGAAGAAUCUACAAAAUUCAGAAACAUGUGAUAACCUGAAUAUACAGACAAAGAAAAGAUAAGUGAGGUGUGAGUGAGGUGUGAGUCCCUGGGAUAGGAGUCAAGGUCAUCAUAUGAAUGCCAAAAAGGGCUACACAAACAAAUCCAAGUUGGCCCUGUGUCAAAACUAAGAACAUGGAUGCUGACAAUAGUAAGGACUGGGGCAAGGGUCCAGGACUCGAAAGCAGAAACCAAGGCUAAAUGUCCAAGACAGUUAGGUAUACAAGCAGACCAUGCCUGGAAAAGAUCCCAGAAAUGAACAGUUAUAGCAAAGUUGGAAAUCUGUAACCAGGUCAAGAUACCAAACAUCAGCAGAGCCAGAUAGUAGCCAGAAUAAGAUGCCUGGACAAAAAUGAAGAUUUAGGAAAGUAUAAGGUUAGAACAGGGAGUGGUUCUGGGAAAGCACUGGAUAGAAGGAACUUGGAAUUCAGGUGAAGAGUCUUGGUGUCAAAGAUGAGAACAAAGGCAAGAAAUCCUGGCAACAGGUAAAAGGGACAAAUAAGGGCUUAAUAUUGGUCCAGUUUCUUGACUAAAAUUCAGAGCUUAAUAUCAUUUCUGUUAAGGCAAAUACCGAUCUUGGAAAACAUCAAAGCCCUGUAGGUGACAGUACCUGUUUGGAACUCCCUGGCUAAGAUGUGGUCAUACUCCAUACAUUCCAUGUUCUGAUUAUUAAUGGAUGUUUGCAGCUGUUUCUUUUCAUCACAUCAGCAAAUGAAGGUCCCAAAAGAUUGACUCCAUCCACAUCAUUAAGGUCAACUCUACUUUGAGGAGGAAGCUCUUCCAGCACUAUAUCAGAUGAUGUUCUGCUGCUAUUAGUAAGGUUUUCGCGGGCUAAGUUUUUCAGAAGUAGAUCGCCAGGUCCUUCUUCCUAGUCUGUCUUAGUCGGGGAAGCAAUAUCAUGAUAAAUGGAGAAAAUAUUGAAGUUGUCAAGGAUUUUAUUUUAUGUAUAUACACAGUCAACGCCCAUGGAAGCAGCAGUCAAGGAAUCAAAUGAUGCAUUGCAUUGGGCAAUUUUGCUGCAAAAGACCUCUUUAAAGCGUUAAAAGCAGAGAUAUUGCUUUGAGGACUAAGGUGCGCCCCCCGACCCAUGCCAUGGUCUUUUCAAUCACCUCAUAUGCAUGAGAAAGCUGGGCAAUGAAUAAGGAAGAACGAAGAAUUGAUGCCUUUGAAUUACGAUGUUGGUGAAGAAUAUUGAAUAUACCAUGGACUGCAAGAAGAACGAACAAAUUUGUCUUGGAAGAAGUACAGCAUGAAGAAGUACAGAAUGCUUCUUAGAAGCAAGAAUGCCAAGUCUUCAUCUCACAUACUUUGGACAUGCUAUCAGGAGGAGCCACUCCCUAGAGAAGGACAUCAUACUUUGUAAAUGAAGGGUCAGCAAAAAAGAGGAAGGCCCUCAACGAGACAGAUUGACACAGUAGCUGCAACAAUGGGCUCAAACAUCUCAAUGACUGUGAGAAUGGUGCAGGACCAGACAGUAUUUUGUUGUGUUGUAUAUAGGGUCACUAUGAGUCAGAACUGACGUGACUCCACCUCACAACAGCAACAUAGUGUGAAAGGGGAUAGUGGUUCAGUGGUAGAAUCCUUGCCUUCCACUCGGAAGACCUGGGUUAGAUUCCCAGCCAGUGCAUCUCAAGCACAGCCACCACAUGUCUGUCAGCAGAGGCUCGCAUGUUGCUAUGAUGCUGAACAGGUUUCAGCAGAGCUUCUGGACUUAGAUGAACCAGGAAGAAAGGCCUGGCCAUCUACUUCCAAAAAUCAGACAAUGGAAACCCUAUGAAUCAUAGUGUUUCAAUCCUGUUGUGCAUGGGGUCACCGUGAGUUGGGGAAUGAUUCGAAGGCAGCUAACAACAAUGACAGCAACAACAACAACAACACCGUCUGAAAAGUCAGAGAGCACUGCCAGGGUUUCCAGGCAUCCUGGAGGACGCCAAGGAUCAAAGCCAAGACAGUAUGUACAAUUACACAGGUAGCAUUUCAAUGGGCUACAUAGAACAUAAAAGCUGAAGUCCAGAAACAGACAAGGGGCAAAACAAAACAGAACAAAUACAAACAAUAACAAAUAAGAAGCAAAGGGUAGUUGAGUGAGUGGAAUCAAACCUGGGGAAAUUCUAGAGGUAAAGAGAGUACAGAAGCCUCUUACUUUUUAAAACCCCAACACAGCACAGGCUCAGGUAGGUUAGCAUACAAAGUUCAUAUAAAAUGGCUUGAGUAGAGGGAACAGUCUGGCUUCUUUUUACUAGGAUUUUGAUAACUGGACUCUUGUUUCUUGUGACCACAUCCAUAUUUUGUAAUUUGGUGUCCAUCUUGAUCCCUGAUUUCUGCAUACCUGAUUUGGUAAUCUCAGAGUUCUAGUUCUUCUAAACCUGGGGCCCUACCAUCCCUUUCCUGUAACUCUUUUUGAACUUUAGUCUCCGUAACUUAUUUCCUGAUACUCAUAUCCACCCCACUGCUUUAAUUAUCCCCAAAUUCUUCUAUCAGUGACCUCUGGCAGGCUACUGGCAAACCCAUCUACAGUCCCUAGCGAGAUUUCCCUGUUGCCAAUUUUCUGUUUACCUGUAGCCUGUUGUCAGACUCUACCAGAUGCUAUACACUGAUCCAGAUGUCCCAUCAUUGCACAACAAAUACUUAUUGAAUUUAACUUCCUGGAAACUUCCCAGAUUGCCUGCCCUGCUCCAGUGGCUCUGGCUCUCCCUGGUCACAUUCCAGGGUUGCCAGGUGUCUGAUUUUGAAACAAACAGUCUGGCAUUUGAGCUUGCUGUCCAAUAAAAAAUACCAAACACAUGACUGUCCCUUUUUUCCAAUUAAAUAAAUCGUAUUAUUAUGUUAUAACAGAACUUAUAUACAGGCAGUCCUCGGGUUCUGAAUGUCCGGCUUAUAGAUAACUAGUACUUGCCGUUUAAUGUUAUGUAAAUUUGCCCUAGUUUUGAAACCAUUGAACCAACCCUCACUCGCAGCCAAUUCUUCAUCACAAUCAACCUUCACUUGCACGUGCAGCUUUUAAAUCAUUGAGAAGACUUUGAGCCUUGUCUUGCACUAAAUCAACCAAACUGUACACACUGAAAUUGGGUCAAUCCCAACUCAUGGCGACACUAUAGGACAGAGUAGAAUGCCCCAUAGGGUUCCCAAGGCUGUAAAUCUGUCUGGAAGCAGACUGCCACAUCUGUCUCCCGAGGAGCAGCUGGUGGGUUUGAGUCGCUGACCUUUCAGUUAGCAACUGAGUGCUUUAACCCCAGUGCCACUAGGGCUCCUUUCUUGCACUACAGUAGGGCUGAAUGAAAACCGUAUACACCUGUUCCAACUUACCUACAAAUUCAACUUGAAGACACAGUUAGGAAUGGAUCUCUUGUUUGUAACCCAGGGACUGCCUAUAUACAUGUGCAGUGCAAUCUAAUAAAAACAAGAGAUUAUUAUCAGUGAAUUUUCCCUAUUUUUUAAUUAGGACUUCUGAUUUUUAUCAGCAUAUCUAGUAGAUUUGUGACUACAAUUUAACAACCAUAUGUAGGCUAUUUUUUCUCCAACUACACCUUACAGUAGGAGAUAAUAUAAAACCAAAAAGAAACUUUAUGGGGCCAGUUCUACCCUGUCCUAUAGGAUUGCUAAGAGGAGAGAAUAUAGAGGAGAAAUAUUGGUCAGCUCAUACCUUAGAAAUUAAGUUUAAAGAUAGGAACACCAUAAUUAUCAACAUAGAUAUAUUGAGCACUUGAUUUAGUAAAUUCAGCACAACUUUACAGUAAAUGCAAUGAUUGCUAGUAUCUCCACUUUCUAAACAGGGAAGAAGACUUUAGCUAUGCCUUCCUUAGAUGAUUCUCUCAAUAGAUCCCAAACCAAAUGAAUCCUGUUGCUGUCGAGUCGAUUCUGACUCAUUGCGACCUUAUAGGACAGAGUAGAAUUGCCCCCGUAGGGCUUCCAAGGCUGUAAUCUUUAUGGAAACAGACUGCCACAUCUUUCUCCUGUGGAGCAGAUGGUGAGUUCAAACCUCCAACCUUUUGGUUAGCAGCUGAGUGCUUUAACCACUGCACCACCAGGACUCCUUUCCUUGAUAGGUGGAUAUAUCGAAAUAAGAAUGAACACGGUUAAAAAGAGGAAAUAGGGGACUUCUGCUUCUUGGAAGAUGGAGUAAAACCAAAGUCUGUUGCUGUUGAGUCGAUUCUGAUUCAUAUCAACCCUGUAGGACAGAGUAGAACUGCACCCUAGGGUUUCUAAGGAGCAGCGGGUGGGUUCAAACUGCCGACCUUUUGGUUAGCAGUUGAGCUCUUAACCACUGCACUGCCAGGGCUCUGGAAGAUGAAGUAGAUGUACUUUUCUCUAUUUCCCCUGCUACGUACAGCCAAAAUCCCUGGAUAUUACAUAUAAACAAACAUAAGAUGACUCUGAAAGGCAGCAAAAAGAAGGCAGACCAUCUAGGAACUUUGGGACUCAAGAAACAACACAGUGGUGAGUUCCCUGGAUUUUGUUUUUGCCUCAUAUAUCCCAGACUUGGAGCUGAAGAAGCUGGCAACCCAGAAAUGCCAACAGAUGCAAAAAAAAAGAAAACAUUAAAGCCUGCUCUAUCUUGCCAAAAGACAAAGAAAGCGGCAGCCUAUCAAGCUAAAAAACAUUUAGACAACGACCAUUCUACUCCAGACAAACAUCACAUAAAACCUAUGGCCCCACUCACACCCAUGCCAACAAAAACUAUGUGGGUAGCCUAGACUUUCCCCCUUACUAGGAUGUAAUGAGGUAUCCCAACAUCCCCAAUUGGGUGGUGUCAGAAAAGUGCAAAGAGAAAGCCCAGACUUUCAUUCCAGCUGGUCAGUAAUGAAUCUUCUCCCCCACCUUCCUGUGAUGUCAAUGGAGACCAUGUGGGAAGCUGGAAAACCCACUCUGUCUUAGUUUCCUAGUGCUGCUGUAACACAAAUACCACAAGUAGGUGGCUUUAAAGAACAAAAGUUUAUUUUCUCACAGUUCUGGAGGCUAAAAUUCCAAAAAAUCAGAGUCUUUACCGUGUCCAUUCCACCUUUAUAGUUUUGUUGUUGUUAGGUGCUGUAGAGUCAGUACCAACUCAUAGCAACCCCAUGUACAUCAGAACAGAACACUACCUGGUCCUGCACUAUCCUCACAAUCAUUGCCAUAUUUGAACCCAUUGUUGCUGCCACUGUGUCAAUCCAUCUCGUCGAGGGUCUUCCUCUCUUUUGCUGACCCUCCACUUGACCAAUCAUGAUGACUUUCUCUAGGGACUGAUAACUCCUGAUAAUAUGUCUUUGUAGGUAGUUCCAGGCAUUUCUGGGCUCCUUGGCUUGUAGACAAUCCUCACAUGGUAUCUGUCUUCCCCUUGUGUGUGCCUCAGUGUCUAAUCUGUUCUUUUAUAACUCAGAAGUAAUUAGAUUGAGAACCUUCCCUACUUGGGUGCGAUACAAUUAACAUAACAAAGAAAACCCUAUUUCCAAACAGGAUUACAUCCACAGGUACAAGGGUUAAGUUUCCAACACAUAUUUUGGGGGAACACAAUUCAAUCCAUAACCCCACCAUGCAGUAAUGAGGAACCCCCACCUUUGGGUGUCAAUGGAGGCCAAGUAGGAAAUCUGGGCUUCUACCUCUAUCUGGCAGUAAGAAGGCAGCACUCCCCCCUUAUCCUGCCAGAGAGAUGUCAGAGAAAGCCAGCUAAAGCAGAAGGUUUAAAUAAGAUCCAGCAUCUCAUAAUAUAAUACAAAAAGGUACAGGUUUUGAUAGAAAAAAUCACUCAUCAUACCAAGACCAGGAAGAUCACAAAUUGAAUGAGAAAAGACAAUCAAUAGAUUCCAACACAAAGAUGAACAGAAUUAUCUGACAAAGAUUUCAAAGAUACCAUAACAAAAAUGCUUCAGCAAGCAAUUAUGAACUCACUUGAAACAAGUGAAAAAGAAAUAGAAGACAGAAAGUAGAACCAAAUGGAAAUCUUAGAACUUAAAAAUACAAUCAUCAAAAUAAAAAAACUUAGUGGAUGGACUCAACAGCAGAAUAGAGAGGGCAGAGGAAAGAGUCAAUGAACUAGAAGAUACAACAGAAAUAAUAACCCAAUCUAAAGUACAGAGUAAAAAAUAAUCUGAAAAAAAAGAACAGAGCCAAAGAACUUGUGGAACUAUAACAAAAGAUUUAACAUUCAUAUACUCAGAGUCCCAGAAGGAGAGGAGAAAGAAGGUGGGGAUAAAAAAAGCACUCAAAGAAGUGAUGGCUGAAAAAUUCCCAAAUCUGGCAAGAGAAAUAAAUAUACAGAUUCAAGAAGCUGAACAAAUCCCCAAAAAAGAUAAACUGAAAUGAAAUCCACACUAAGACACACCAUAAUUAAACUUCUCAAAACUAAAGACAAUGAAAAAAUCUUGAAUGCAGCCAAAGAAAAACUGCAUUAUGGCUCCUGGGAAAAACAAUUAAAACAGAAGCAAAUUUCUUACCAGAAACCAUGGAGGCCAGAAGGAAGUGACACAAUUAUUUUUCAAGCUCUGAGAAAACAAAUUGUAAACACAGAAUUCUACAUUCAGCAAAAGUAUCCCACAGAAAUAAAGGGGAAAUCAAGUCAUUUUCAGCUGAGGGAAAAUGAUGAGAAUUUGAUGUUAGAAAAUGAUUCUUAAAAGAAUAACACAAGUUCUCUGAACAGAAAGGAAAUUAUAAAAGAAGGAACCUUGAAAUAUUAGGAAGUAUCAGGAAGGAGAAAAAGAACACAGUAAGCAAAAACAUGGGUAAAUACAAUAGACUUUCCUUCUCUUGAGUUCUGAAUUAUGUUUGAUGGUUGAAACAAAAAUAACACUGUCUGAUGUCAUUCUAAAUGUAUGUAAAGGAAAUAUUUAAGACAAUUGUAUAAUAAACAGGACAGAAUAAACAGAUGUAAAAGGAGGUAGCAUUUCUACACUCCACUCAGACUAGUAAAGUAAUGACACCUGUAGACUGUGGUUAUGUAUAUGUCGGUGGUGGUGGUACCCUCAAGUCGGUUCCUACUCAGUGACCCUAUGUAACACAGAACAAAACACUACUCAGUCCCGUGCCACUCUCACAAUCAUUGCUGUGUUUGAACCCAUUGUUACAGCCACUGUGUCAAUUCAUCUCAUUGAGGGCCUUCCUCCUUUUUGUUCACCCUCUACUUUACCAAGCAUGAUAUCCUUCUCCAGGGACUGGUCCCUCCUGAAAACAUGUCCAAAGUCAGUGAGACAAAGUCUCACCAUCCUUACUUCUAAGGAGAACUCUGGUUGUACUUCUUCCAAGACAGAUUUAUUCGUUCUUCUGGCAGUCUGUGUACAUUCAUUCAGUAUUCUUUCCCAACACCAAAGUUCAGAGGCAUCGAUUCUUCUUUGGAGGUCCUUAUUCAUUGUCCGGAAACCCUGGUGGCGUAGUGGUUAAGUGCUAUGGCUGCUAACCAAGAGGUCGACAGUUCAAAUUUGCCAGGUGCUCCUUAGAAACUCUACGGGGCAGUUCUACUCUGUCCUAUAGGGUCGCUAUGAGUCAGAAUCCACUCGACUGCAAUGGGUUUGGUUUUUUUGGUUUUAUUCAUUGUCCAGCUUUCUCAUGCAUAUGAGGUGAUUGAAAAUACCAUGGCUUGGGUCUUUUUUUUUUUUUUUGGGUCAGGCUCACCUUAGUCCUCAAAGUGACAUAUUUGCUUUUGAACACUUUAAAGAUCUUUUGCAGCAGAUUUGCCCAAUGCAGUAAAUACAUCCUUGAUUUCUUGAAUGUUGCUUCCAUAUGUGUUGAUUGUGCAACCGUAUGUAAUGAAAUCCUUGACAACUUCAGUCUUUUUUUCCUUUUAUCAUGAUGUUGCUGAUUGGUCCAUUUGUGAGAACUUAUGUUUUCUUUAUGUUGAGGUGUAAUCCAUACUGAAGGCUGUGGUCUUUGAUCUGUGUUUUGAAACAUCUCAAUUGAUAUUCUGUGAAUUCCUGGAGCCUUGUUUUUUGCCACUGCCUUCAGUGCAGCUUUGUCUUUUUCCUUCAGUACCAUCAGUUCUUGAUCAUGUGCUGUAAUGGAAUGAAUUGUGUCCCCCCAAAAUAUGUGUCAACUUGGUUAGGCUGUGUGUGGUUUUCCUCCAUUUUGUGAUUUUCCUAUGUGUUAUAAAUCAUAAUCUCUGCCUGUGGUUAAAGAAGAUUAGGGUGGGAUAUAACACCCUUGCUCAGGCCACAUCCCUGAUCCAAUGUAAAAGGAUUUUCCCUGGGGUGUGGCCUGCACCACCUUGUAUCUCUCAAAAGAUGAAAGGGAAGCUAGUAGACAGUUGAGCACCUCAUACCACCAAGAAAGCAGCACCAGAAGCAGAGCACAUCCUUUGGAUAUGGGGUUCCUUCACCUGAGAAGCUCCUCGACCAGGGGAAGAUUGAGGACAAGGACCUUCCUCCAGAGCCAACAGAGAGAGAAAGCCUUCCCUUGGAACUGAUACCAGUAAUUAUCAGUGCAUCUUAAUUACAUGUUUGAUCAAUUUCAGACUUCAGAAGUUUGUAAAAUUCUUUAAUUUCUUCAUCUGUGGCCUUAGUGGUUGGUGCAUAAAUUUGGAUAAUAGUCGUAGUAACUGGACUUCCUUAUAGGUGUGUAGAUAUUAUCCUAUCACUGACAGUGUUGUACUUCAGGAUAGAUCUUGAAAUGUUCAUUUUGAAGAUGAAUGCAAUACCAUUCCUUUUUAAUUUGUCAUUCCCAUCAUAGUAUACCAUAUGAUGUCUGAUUCUAACGGGCCAAUACCAGUCCAUUUCAGCUCACUAAUGCCUAUUGCCUAGGGUAUCGACCUUUAUGAAUAAAGUAAGACCUAGAACAACCAUACACACACACACACACAUACAUACAUGCAAACAUACACCUGAAAACACUAUAGAUACUCUAAAUGGAAUGUUAAUAAAUGUACAAGUAACCCAUAAGAAGUGAGAAACAGAGAGAACAAACAGAAAACAAAUGUUAAAUGGCAUACUUUAGCUCUAACAUAUAAACAAUUAAGUGUAAAACAUCUAAAUACACCAAUUAAAAGCCAGAUUGGCAGAAUGGAUUUAUAAAUUGGACCCAACUAUAUGCUGUCUGAAAGAAAUGCACUCCAAAUGUGAUGACACAGGCAGAUCAAAAGUUAAAGGGUGGAAAAAUUAUCAGACAAAUAUUAAUCAAGAGUUGCUAUAAUAAUAAUGGAAAAAGUAUACCUCAGAGGAAAGAAAAUUAUCAGAUACCUAGAGUGACCUUAUAUAAUGAUAUGAAUUAUGCUGAAUGAAAAAAGCUAAUACUCAAAGAUUACAUGCUGUAUGGUUCCAUUUAUAUAACAUUCUUGAAAUGACAAAAUUAUAGAAAUGGAGAACGGCUUUCUAGUUGCUAGCGGUUAAACAGAGAGUGGGGGUGGGAGGGAAGCAAAUGCAGCUAUAAAAGGACAGCAAGAAGCAUCCCCACGAAGAAGGAAAUAUUUUGUACCCUGACUAUCAAUAUCAUUAUCCUGGUUGUAAUAGUGCACUAUAGUUUUGCAGUAUGUUACCAUUGGGGGAAACUGAGUAAAAGGUGCAAGGCAUCUCUAUUAUUUCUUACAGCUGCAUGAGAAUGUACAAUUGUCUCAAUAUUAAAAGUUUUACUUAAAAAAUGAUAGUAAGAAGUUAGAACCCACUGACUAAAAUGGAGUCCAUGCUUCCAUACUGAUAUAAAUAAACAAAUCUGAAAAAUGAAAUAGUACAAAAAAAGCUUACCUCCCAGCCACACUCCCCAGGAACAACCACUUUCGAUACUCUUCUCUGGGCUCUUCUGACAUUUACGUACGUGUUUCUACGUACAAUCUAUACAUUUAUAUUGCUAUUUCUUUAUCAGUUUUAUGCAUUAUCCAUUGACUUCCUACUUUGAUACAUGAGCAUUUCUCCCACACCCCCAACAUAGUGAUGUAACUAAUUUUUAUUAAAUCAAUAGUCAAUAUUUACAUUAUUAGAGCUAUGUAAAUAUCUUUCAUUGUUGAGCCAAGUAGAGUCUAUGAUUGUGUUUCCGUGCUUGUAUGCCCUGUUGUUUUUUCCAGAGUUCCAAGAGUUGUUUUUUCUUCAUUUGCUUAGGUUUUAUGCAUCUAUCAAAAUACUUUAUCAGAUCAGUCUAAAGUCUACCAAAAUACUUAUCUGGUUCCUUAAGUAUAUCUGGUAAUCCAGCAAUUCCAUUUCAUUUAUUAAAAAGGUCCUUCUCAGAGCUACCUCUCUCCUUAUUUGCCUGCUCUAAAGUGGAUUAUUUUUUAAAGUGGAUUAAUUGUGCCCUAGGCCUUCAGCACAGUUGUCAUCCUGGGAUUUCCCUCCACCUGCAGUGUUAGAACCUUUGUUUCCUAGACCCCAUGUCUUUUUCUUAAUUUCAUUACCUCAUUUUUCUGAAGAAAAUCUUCUAGUGCCUCAAAUGAGAGGGUGGAUGGGAGGCAAUUUUUUAAAGUUCUUUCAUAUCUUUGCAUGUUGGAAAAUGAUGUUAGUCUAACCUCACUGGGUAUUUAAAUUAUAGAUUCGAAGGUAAUGCUGCAUUGUCUCCAGGCUUGAAGUAUUGAUGCUGUAAAGUUCAAUGCAGUUCUGAUUUCUGUUCUUUGUAUGAAAAAGAGGGCACAUAGCUACAUAUGCAUACAUUAUAGAGAUUUAAAAAGCAUGAAGGAGUAACAGAAACAACUUUGUAUGAAUAAGUAUGAAGGCAGAUGAAUGGCCUCUUUUAUAAAAAAAAAUUUUUUAUGGUUUUCCUCUUUUAUAGAAAACCAUAAAUUACCAAAAUUGACCUAAGAAUAAGUAAAGACAUUUAAAUAAACCAAUAACCACUAAAUAAAUGGAAUCAUAGUGAAAGGGUUCCCCACCAAAUAUACCACAGGCUUCAAUUUUUCAGGGAUAAGUUUUACCAUAACUGUUUAAAUACAGAUGGGAAGCUUCUUGAACUCGUUUUAUGAAUGUAUUAUAUCCUUGAUACCAAAACAAUGUAAGAAACUAUAAGAAAAACACCUAUAUAUAAUUUUGGCAUGUCUAAAUAAUUUUUAUUUUAUAUUUCUGUAGAAUAUUUUUAAAAAUCUCUCGUCAGCAAGUAGGGUUCACUACAAAAAUGUAAGGAGGUUUCAAUAUUUUAAAAACUCAACCGAUGUAAUCACCACAUUAACAGAUUAAAGGAGAAAAAUAACCAUUUCAAUAGACAUAAAGAAAAUUUAAUAAGAUUCAAUACUCAUUUAUGAUUAGAAAAAACAACAACUUUUAGCAAUCUAGAAGUAGAAGAGAAACUUCACUGAGCACGAUAUAGGGUAUGUGGUGUCGUGGCUAAGUGCUACAGCUGCUAACCAAAAGGUUGACAGUUUGAAUCCACCAAGCAAGCACUCCUUGGAAACUCUGUGGGGCAGUUCUACUCUGUCCUACAAGGUUGUUAUGAGUCAGAGUCGACUCGAUGGCAAUGGUUUUUUUUUGGAAUCCAGAACCUACAGAAAACAUACUUAAUGGUAAAACUUUAGAGGCUAUUCCAUUAAAACCAGUAACAAGACAAGGACACCUGCUAAUAUUGCUUCUAUUCCACGAGGUGCUAGAAGUCCAGGUGAAUGCAAUAAGACAGGCAAAGAAGUGCAGUAUGAAAAUUGGUAAAGGUGAUAUAAAACUGUUAUUAUUUGCACAUAUGAUUGGUUACAUAGAAAAUACGAGAAAUCUACAAUUAGAAAUAGCAACAUAAUUCAACAAACUGCUGGUUAUAAGGUUAACAUAUUCAAACUAGAAAUAUACCUUUACAUAAGCAAUAAAAAAUAGAAGUUGUUAGUAAAAAGGUGUGCAGGACCUUUAUGGAGAAAAUUAUAAAGCAUUAGUAAAGUACAUAAGAGGAGACCUGAAUAAAUGGAAAAUAUGUUAUGUUCAUGGAUAUGGGAAGGCUUACUAUUAUAAAGAUGUCAAUUUUCAGAUGGAUUAAAGAACUACACGUGAAAAGAAAUACUUAAAAAUUUUAGUGGGCUAUACAAGAGGGUAACUUUAUGAUAUCGAAGUAGGGAAGGAUUUCUUAAGCCAAACAUACAAGAAAACAGAAACCAUAAAGGAAUUACUGACACAUUUUAAUUCGUUCUAUUUCAAAGCUAUCAAAUAACAAAAGACAUCAAAAUAUGAAAAGACAGUUCCACAUGGGGAGAAGACAUUUGCAAUGCACAUAACUAACAAAAGAUUACAUCUGUAAACCAGUAAGUAAAAGAGAAUAACAACCCCAAAGAAGGAAGAGAAAGGGCAAGCAUACAAACAGGCAGUUCACAGUAAUAGAAACUUGAACAGACAAUAAACAUGCAAACAGAUGCUCAUCGUCCCCAGUCACCAGGGAAAUGCCACUUACAACAAUGAGAUACCGUUUCACACUGAUCGGAUUGGCUAAAAACUAAAAAGCUGCAGAGCACCCACGGAAAUUUGUGAAACUACUUUGGAAAGUAAUGUGAUAAUGUCUAGUAAAGUUGAAGACUUGCAUGAACUCCACUUUCUCAUACCAUUGAGUUGAUACAUAUUGCCUAAAAUUGAUGUAUCAAGAAAUUGAGUUAGAUAUAUACGUUUCCUCUAGUCCAGUGAUUCUCAAACUUCCCUAUGCAUACAGAUCACCUGGGGUCUUGUUAAAAUGCAGGUGUGAGGUAGGGCCCAAGGUUCUGCAGUUCUAAUACAUUCCAAUGCCUAUGCUCCUAGGAAAACUUUGAGUAACAAGGAGAUAAAACAUAGGUUGAAAGCUCAAAUGCCUGAAAGGACCAGGCAAGUAGCAAUGAUGUGAAGCUGACUAGUUGAGGACUGUGGUAAAUUGGAGUCUGCUCACCUUGUAUGGAGAGGGCAGCCGCUACUCAGCUCAAGCUGCAGAAUGCAAGUUCAGAUCUCCCAAUUUCUCAAGAGGAGCUGGAAAUUCAGGCUUUAUGUGAAAUCUUCAAUUUUUUAAAAAAAUAAUUUUUAUUGUGCUUUAAGUGAAAGUUUACAAAUCAAGUCAGUCUGUCACACAUAAGCCUAUACACACCUUACUACAUACUCCCAUUUACUCUCCCCCUAAUGGGUCCGCCCGCUCCCUCCCUCCAGUCUCUCCUUUCGUGACCGGUUUGCCAGUUUCUAACCCUCUCUACCCUCCCAUCUCCCCUCCAGACAGGAGAUGCCAACACAGUCGAAAUCUUCAAUUUUAAAAUGUUGGCAACUAUUUAGAAGGGAAUUAACCUAUGUGAGGUAAACAAAAUCAGGCAAGAUAUAACUGGCUGGCCUUCAGUGUGCAACCUCUGAUCUAGAGGGAGGUGGUAACCAAUAGAAGUCAAACUGUUAAGAGAUUGCCUCUGGUAUGGGGGCCCAAGGAGGGGAGGGCAGGAGCAGGAGACUGUUGUUUCUCAUCAUAAGAUCUAUACCAUUUGGUCUGUAACCACGUGUAUAUUACUUUGAUUUUUUAAAAAAUGUUUUUACUUAAAAAAAAUUAUGACCGAGUUUAUAGUUGUUUCAUAUUUGCUUUGCUAGCCAUAGCUAUGAUUUAGUUCAAGUUUAAUCAGGAACAUAACACCUAAUUAUAAUGUUGAUCUUAUAGUAACCCAUUAACCUACUUUACAAUGAUCUUUCUAUGAUGCGAUUUCUAGGAAUGCUCCAUAGUGAAAAAUAAAGAAGGCCUGAAGUGAAGGUGUAAAAUUAAUUAAAUUGCAUCAAUAGCCUUCUCAGGGGUUUUGUAAUUAGCUGGUCAUGCAAGAAACAUAAAGAAUCUAGGAUUUCAAGGCUGGAAGAUCACAGAGAUCAUCUUGUCCAACAUGUCACUGAGUACUUGAACUCAACAUUUCCUUAAUAUACAUUGUUUUAUGUUCCUAACUUCUUUUUUCACAUUGCAUAAGGUGUAGAGUAGUACUAGGUCCAGGUUCUAAAAUGUUUAGAUUAACAAUAACGAUGCUAACAAUAGGAAUAAGAAUAAAGAUGAUGUCUAACAUUUUUUUGCAAACUUACUAUGUGCCAGGCAUUGUGCUCAGUACUUCACAUAUAUUGUCUUAUUUGAUCCUAAGAAAACCAAUUGAUAUCCCCCUGUAAAUUACUUAUUAAUUACAAAGGGAAAAUAGUAAUUAUACAGUGGAGAAAUAUGAUGGCUAUCACCUUAGUCGAGUGAUCAAAGUUAACACUACUAGUAUUGGGACAAUUUGACUUCAUGUGCCUCCUGAUAUGAUGCACCGAGAAGGGCACAACAUCACCUCUGCGGUACUUUUCCAAAAAUACAUGUCUCAAUCUAACUGUAAUAAAACAUCAGACGAACUCAAAUUGAGAGACAGUCUACAAAAUAACUGACCUGUACUCUUCAAACAUGUCAAUGUCAUGAAACAAAAAUAUUAAGAACUGUUACAGAUUAAAGUAGGUGUGAUGGUUAAGGUUGUAUGUCAACUUGGCUGGGCCAUGAUUCUCAGUGGCUUGGGAGUAUAACAUAGUUUGGCAGCUAUGUAAUGAAGUAAUCACUUCCGUAAUGAUAUCUGAUAUAUGUAAUCACCUCCAUGAUGAGAUCUGUUAUAAGCAGCCAACCAGUUGAAAGGGAGUUUUCUUGGGGGUGUGGCCUACAUCCAAUAUAGGUGGAAUUUCUGGCAAAGCUUGCUGGCUUUUGCUCUCU